rnacentral:lncRNA from 1 species
GUUUUUUUUUGUGAUGCAAUAAGGCAAACAUUUGUUGUGGAACUAUCUUCGCGAGCUACAUCAACGAUCCCCGAUUCUUGUACUCAAAUGAGACAAGUCGUUGCAAUGCUCGUCCAUAGCACAUGUAUGGUGGAAGCUUUCCACAAUGCUCUUUCUAUGUGCGGACUAGAGGACAUGGUUUUCCGAGGGGAUGUGUUCACCUAGAGGAGAAGACGCAUGGGAGGGGACGCGAUGUGCGGUGCAUGCAGCCCUCCACCGUUGGGAAGCGCCGAAGAGAAGAGGCGUCUAGCUGAGUUGAAGGACAAACCCAUGAACAAGAACACAGCCCCGAAGAGGCGUCUAGCUGAGUUGAAGGAGCUUCAAAUCCAAGCUGAAUCCAUGUAUGAUCAGGAAGAAUUAUAUUAUCUUCACGGAGUAGAGCCAACUGGCUGCGUACCGGUGGCCGAAACACAAACUUCUUUCAUGAUUUUGGGUUGGCUUCGAAGAAGAGGUACUUUAUUAAAAAGCUUCAAGCUGAUGAUGCCACAUGGCGUGAAGGUAAUGAAGAUUUGAGCAUGCUGAUAUCUUCCUAUUUUUCCAACCUGUUUGAUUUUGGAGUUGUAGAACCAGAGGGAGAGGUUAAUUAAUACUAAAAUUAGACCAUGUGUUAAUUGUUUUGAGGCUAAAUUCGUAAACAUUUGUUUUCAAAAUUGAUAAUUUUUUCAAAUCCGCUAAAUCAUGUGCUGGCCAACAGGCACCUGGCAGGAGCGAUGUGUUUGCCUAGUCGGGCCAAGGCCUAAGCAUAUAUUUUUUUCUUUCCUAUGUUUUGUUUUUCUUUUCUAUAUUUUUGUUGAUUCAUUUUUCUUCUUUUUCAACUUUAUUAUUCUUUUUGAAACAUGUUUAAAUAUUUGCAACAUGAAAAAAAAAUCUUGAUAUAAAAUAUUGUAUAAUUUUUUAAAAAAUGUUUAAGAAAUUUCAAAAAUGUCCACUUUUUAAUAUAUUUGUUCACAAAUUUAUGAAUUGCUUACGUUUCAAAAAAGUUGAUAUUUUUUAAAAAAGUGCGUGCUUUGCAAUUUAUGUUCAACAUCAAUUGUUGGCAAUUUGUUCACAAUUUUGAAAAAAAGUGUUCAAGUUUAUAAAAAGUUCAUACACAAUUUGAAAUUCCAAAAUUGUUGACAAAUUUCAAAAAAUUGUUAGGAUAUAAGAAAAUGUUUUGUUGAUUAAUAAUGAUGAAAAUUGUAAGUAACAUAGGCAUUCAAAUUAGGAAAAAACUACAUGCUCAUGGAUGCACCCGUCUAGCUAGUCUAGCACACUCCUCUGAACUGGUGGUCAUUUGGACUAUGGAUAAAUGACCUCAACUUCUUACACCUGCCUGACACGGACAUAUGAGGCAACCAUAUGUGGCUUGAAGGAAUUCCGACGCCGUAUCGUCCAUUUUCCACCGAGAAAACUUCAGAAAAUGCAAGAAUUGUCAAAAACUCGAACAACUUGUUAUGAUGCCUUGAAUUGGUCAUAAAAGCUGGUGAAUGUUUUUGGGCCAUUUGACAGAUGUUGAGAAACAAUGUGCUUUCAAAGGGCCCUUCUCGUCUACCCAAACAUCCUCUGUUGAACAUGAUCUAGUUUUGGAGAUUCUUGAAAUGACCCUAAAUUUUGCAAGUAGGUGGGCAUGCCCAUGUUAGACAUUCGUGCCAUGUUUGAACGAUUUCCGACACCUACUUGCAAAAGUUAGGGUCAUUUCGUUGUACGGUGGAGAAUGGAUGUACGGUGUCGGAAAUCGUUUUUUUACAGUUACACGUACAACCAUUUAUCGGUCUUUUUUGUCCGAGAAAACUACAAAAAGAAUGCUAAAUUUGUCAAAAAAUAAAAUAAAACAACUUGACAUGAUGCCUUGAAUUGAUCAUACAAGGCCAUGAAAAAACUGGGGCCAUCAAGAGAAUGUUGAGAAACAACGUGCUCUCAGACGAAACCUUCUGGGCUACCUGGACACUCUCCGUUGAACAUGGUCUAGUUUUGGACAUUAUUUAAGUUGUAUUAGUUGCUUAUUUUCUUGGUCUCUUCAUAUUAUUCACUUGACUUCCAUUUAAGUUUCAUAUAGUCCUCUUAGCUUGCAGGUUGGAGUUAGUCUCUACACCAAUUGGCGCAACAAGUCAUCUAGUACGAUAAAUUUAUUGGGGAACGGGGCGGUUGGAGGUGCCCGUAGGUAGCCAACUAGCAUGAAGAUCAUUUUCCCUUUUAUCUUGGCAUAAAAUUCAUAUGAUAUUUUUUCUAUUCAACUUGUGUUUUCGGCAAGAACUUUGAUCUAUACUCAACUGUCAAGUUAGUAAAAAGAACACUAGAAGCAAAAAUUACAUCCAUGUCCUUAGACCACCUAGCGAUUAAUACAAGCACUGGAGUGAGCCGAAGGCGUGCCGCCAUCAUUGUCCCUCCCUUAUCGGAGCCUGGCAAACCUAGUUGUAACAGACGGUCGGAAAGUCAUCGUGCUAAGGUCAUAUAGUACCAGCACACCAGAACAACAACCGCCGCCGAUGAAGAGAAGCGUAGAUCGGAAGGAUCCGACCUGUAGACACACUAAAUGAAGACCGGAUCCACAUGCACCCAACAAAGACAAACCCCGACCGGAUCCCCCUAGAUCUGCCGGAGACAAAGCUCCACAUGCCCUCCGAUGAUGUUAGAGCACCGGUGGGAUGGGGGUUAGACGGGGAGAACCUUAUUCCAUCUCUAGAGACUUGUCGCCGCUUCAUCUCUCUAAGCAGGACAUAUCCCUAACAAAACUCAAAAAACAUGCAAAAAUGGAACCGUUCCGCCAGAAGGACCAGGAUCCACUGUGCCUCCAUGGCCCUAAGGCCACAAGAGAUGAGGCAGACCGACGAUGGCAUCGGCUGGAGGCACCGAAAAGCCUAGCUGCUAGAAGUGUGGGAAUGAGAGUCCUGGUUGGCAGGCGUUUUUAGUCUUGGAUUUAUGUGUGCUCGGUGUAUGUUCAACUUUGAUAUGAUAUAUCAUUCAAAUUGAUGGUAUAUUUCAGAUUUAAUAUUUCAUUAGGACAAUGCAUGUUGAUGCAACGGGAUAUAAAUAUUAGACCGUGAUAUUUGGCACAUGUGUGAUGGAUAGCAAAACUACCAUAUUCCUCCUUCCUCCCAUAUAAAUACAUGCAUGCAUGCAUUAGGAUAUAGAUUAGGGUGUGACUAACUCUCUUUCCACGUCCAUCCCUCUCUCUAAUUACAUACAUGCACUAGAGGACAAAAAAGCUGAUGUCAUCCUAGAUUCUCUCCUAUUUCAAAAAUUCAAAAUGUUUUGUAGCUUAAAUCGUUGGUCCGAUGCAAAAACCGUUUUCACAUAAAAGAUUCGUUGCGAUGAGAUCUUCGAAACUAGAUCCCAUGUUGGUGUGUUUUGAUGAAUAUUUUUUCCGGGUCAAAAGUUACCACGCCUCGGCUACAUAAGUUACCAAGCCUAUGGUAUGCAACUUACCGUACUAUUUCCACAUAAGUUACCGGGGUUAUAUUUUUCGGCAGCCCCCCCCCCCCUCCCCGGUUAAAAGUUACCGCAGGUGUUUGUACUUAAUUUAAUAGGUACGUGGUUCAUAUAUUACCGUGCUAUUUUCACAUAAGUUAUCGAGGGAUGUUUCUCAAAAACUUUUUCCCCUUGAUUAAAAGUUUCCGCGGUAUUUGUACAUAAGUUACAGGGUAUGCGGUUCGUAUUUACCAUAUUAUUUUCACAUUAGUUAUCAGGGUAAGUUCUUUCUCCCAGUCAAAAUACUUACCGCGGUGUUUCUGGUAAGUUGUCGGGUAUACGGUUCGCAUAUUACCAUGUUAUUUUCACAUAAGUUACCAUGAGGAAGGGGGUAUGUUUUUCAACAACUUUUUUCCCAUUGGUCAAAAUUACCGCGUUGCUAUACAUAAGUUAUCGAGCAUGCAGUUCGUAUAUUAUCGUGUUAUUUUCACAUAAGUUAUCUGGGGUAAACGUUUUCAACAACUUUUUUUUCCUCCCGGUCUAAAAAGUUACCGCAGUGUUAGUACUAAGUUAUCAUGUACGUGAUUUGUAUAUUACCGUGCUAUUUCCACAUAAGUUACUGAGGUUAUAUUAUUCAACAAGUUUUUCUCCCUAUCAAAAAAGUUACUGUGGUGUUUGUAUGUAAGUUAUCGAGUAUGUGUUUCGUAUAUUAUCGUGCUAUUUUCAUAUAAGUUAUGAGGUAUGUUUUCAACUACUUUUUCUCGGUCAAAAACAUUACCAUUGUGUUUGUCCGUGAGUUAUCGAGUCUGCGAUGCGUAUAUUAGAAUGCAAUUUACAUAGUUAUUAUCGAGGUAUGUUUUCAAACAUUUUUCCCUCUAGGGUUAAAAAGUUAUCAGGGUGUUCAUGUGCAAGUUAUCGUAUAUGUGGUGUGCAUAUUAUCAAUGUAUUUACACAUAAGUUACCUUAAUACAUUUUUAAACAAUUUUUUCCCUGGCCAAAAGUUUAUAGGCCUAUGCCAAGUAAGUUACCACACCUACCAUGCAUAUAUUAUCAUGUUAUUUAAACAGAAGUUAGCGGGGUUAUAUUAUCAAAAAAAAUCUCAGGUCAAAAGGUUACCAAGGUGUUCGUGUGCAAGUUAUCAUAUCUGUGGUGUGUAUAUUAUCAAUGUAUUAACAUGAAAUUUACUAAGGUGGGGGGUCUUGAACAGUUUUUUUCCAGAGCCAAAAGUUAUACGUAGGCUAAGUAAGUUACUAGGCAUACAAUGUGUAUAUAAUCAUCCUAUUUACACAGAAGUUACUGGGAGUAUAUUUUUGAUAUUUUUUCCUUCAGGGCGAAAAUGUUACCAAGGUGUUCAUGUGCAAAUUAUCAUAUCAAUACUGUGCAUAUUAUCAAGGUAUUUACAUAGAAGUUACCGGGGUAAAUUUUUUAAAAAUAUAUUCCUGGCCAUGAUGUUUGUACUUGAUUUAUGAGCUUUGUGGCCUGUACAUUACCGUCAUAUUUACAUAGAAGUUACACAGUGGUAUAUUUUCAUGAACUAGGUACGGCACUGGAGCUGCAAGCCAUGUCAUGCAUGAACCAAAAACAACAGUGAUUCGUCAUCAUGCAUCCAAAAAAGAUGCAUGUUACACAUCCAAAUGAGCGUUAUGAUUUUGUCUUUACUACUACUAUAAUAACCAGAGGAGCACAUUGCAAAGUGCUGACAUUUACAUUGUUGAUCUGCUCCCUACUGAUCUUCUUUAGCAUUGACAAGAUCAGGUAAAUGUAAGGGACACUCAUCAUUUGCAUAUUAGCAUAUGCCAUCUCACCAUUAGGCACAACAGACAAAUAGUUCAGACUUCAAUAGAUUCAGAGAUCGCAUGAUCUUGAGUCGCCUUGGAGGAAAGAAAAUCAUGCAGAAUGAGAGGUCCAAAUCCAUAGCCCAGCUUCUUUUAUUAACCUUGAUGGUACCAUCAACUAGGGAGACAAGACACUCGGUUGAACAGAUAGUAAUGCUCUGAAAACAAACACCUGUUUGAAAGAUGGAGAAACCUGAACUUCAGAGAAAUCCAUCACAGGACCUGAGUAGAGCAGAGCAACCUCGGGCAAGAGCAGUAUAUGCAUUUGCAGAAGAUUGUGGAACGGCGAAGUAGGAGAGGUCAAAAAGACCAAGUCACCAAAGAUUGGAACGUCCCCUGGUCAUGGCCGCCUGGUCAUUGGUGUCGCUGCUACCACUCCCGCCCUUCCUCUCCAUGACAAUCCACACCGUCAUCUCGCUCCGCACCAUCGCAGUAGCUCACCUGGCCCCGGCAUUGUCCUCGCCUCUGUUCGGUUUCAGGGCGAGGUCCAUACUUGUCUCUCGCCUACAUGCAUGAGCCAUGCUCCCGACAAAAAUCCCCGACCCUUCACCUCACCGGGGGACUCCGGUCGGUGAAGCCACCCGCGUUGGGCGCCGCCAUGGCUGGGCGCCGGCCGGUGGAGCGGUCCGCGUCGGAGGGAUUGAGAAAAGGUGCGGGCGUGCGGCGGUAGGAGUCACGCGUGAGGUAGGAUGAAGAGGCGCUCGCCGGGACGGGCGCCGGGGAGCGGAUCUGGCUGGGGCACGAUGAGGCGUUGGGUCCAGACGCGGCCGCGGGCUCUGGCUUGAAGCCCGGGAGGAGGAAGCGGAGGAAGGCGCCGUCGGCUAGGCGUGGGGGGAGGAAGACGGGAGGAACAUGACCGAGAUAUGCAAAAUCAAAAAACGGGAAAAGAGGAUCGUGCCUGGGAUGCCGAUCCAAGGGCUUGGGAAUCGUGUUGUAGUUUUGUAAUCUGCCACACGGUUGCCACAUACAUAUUUCGAUAAAUAUUUAGUACGAUACCUUGUGAUUUACUUGCCCAUAUUAAUAUGAUUGUGUAAAUAAAUGUUUAUUAAAUUCUACACGUGAUUUACCUUAUACUCCAUUUUGAUAAAAAGUUUGAUAUGUAAAUAAAAGUGAAAUUGAUUCAGAAAAUAUGUAAGUCCAAGUGUUCGAUUAUCAUACGAGAAAGGUUGGACAAAGGGGCGACCAGAAAAAAAAAGUGAAACAUGAAACAAAGAUUUUCCUAUUUUGGAGUUGUACGAUACCUCUUCUCUGCCCUACCACCAUGAUUCAUGUGUCACAUAACAAAAGAUGACUCCUAGGUCGAUCGAGCUGGACGGAUUCCACUAGGAAUCGAUCAAGAAUCCUACUCCGCUAAUGCCGGCAGGAUAAGAAUUCCAUUACCAUUAGGAGACGGGCACGCGCCCGCCGAAUUAUAUGUGCCACCGGACGACACGAUCGAUUUUUUGCCACGCCGAUGGGUUUGCGAUCGGGCCGCCGCCUCUUCUCGCGUCCGCCGCCGGGGCAUGGGCCGGGCGGAGCCGACCACAUCAGCUCGCUCUCCGAUGACAUGAUCCUCCUCAUCCUAGCGCGUCUGGGCUGCGUCCGCACCGCCGUGCGCACCGGCCUUCUCUCGCGCCGGUGGCAUGGUGUCUGGUCCCGCCUCACCGACCUCACCUUCCGCGGCGUCAUGCCCACGGUGAUCAAAGCUGCGCUCUCCCGGUUUGAAGCUGCUACGUCCGCGGGCGCGUUGUCUCUCCUCGACAUCCUCCUCCCACUCAGGGUGGACACGGACCGGGUCCCGGUCCGAGCCGUCGUUUGGACCGGCCGCCGGCGGUCCAGGCCGGACCGGACCGAGCAACAUGACGGUCCUGAUCUCAGGGACCUGACCGGCGGCGACGAAGCCCGGGCCAGACCGAAUGGACCGAAAGGACCGAAUGGGUAGGGUUGAUGUGUGCGGGUGCAACGGCGAGUUGGGCGACGCGCGCGAGUGCAGCAGCGAGUUGGGCGAUGUGCGCGAGUGAUGUGACGAACUGGACGACGUGCGCGAGUGCAGCGGCGAGUUGGGCGACGUGCGCGAGUGAUCUGACGAACUGGACGACGUGCGCGAGUGAAACUGACGAACUGAAUUUUCUGAAACUGACGAAACUGAAUUUUCUGAAAGUUUGACACCACGUAUUUAACUGACAGUCUUCGCGCUCGUCUAGAAGAAGUGCAUAAACGCCUCGAACAACAGCUGCGGCUUCACCUUUAGAGUGUUCGGGAUCGUCCCCUAGUACUUCCUCGUGGCGCCGGCGAGGUGCAGAGCGUUCGGAUCGUGUCACAGUUCUUCAGAGCUUGUGCCCGGUGUGCAUGUUUACUGCUUAGUUUUCCUUUAGUGCAGAAAUCACUCGCCAUGCAACGUGUGCAUGUCCACCUCUUCGAUUGGUUUGAGGUUAGUUAGAUCUAGCCAUUCUCUCGUUCCAUUUAGUUGCAAGAAAAACGUCUUGACCCGCAGCUCGUGCCAUGGCACGAUUUCAGCUCAUGUAGGCGCGAUACCCGCAGGAAUUGGUGCCACGGUUGGGGUGGAUACCCGGCGGCAAGAGGAUACGGCGCACGGGGAGGAGAGGAAGGAUGGAGAGCGGAAGCUCGGAGACAUGUUGGUUCACCCGGAAGAUGCAGCCAUGCAGGUGGCCGCGACGACGAGGAACUGCGGCCGCGGUGACUGUGCUUUCUCGGUCCGACCGAGCGGCUCGGUGAAAGACUGGACCGGACCGACAUUUCUUAGGGCCGAAUAUUGCAGUCCGGACCGACCAGUUUUCCUACCGGUCCUGGACCGUACGGUCCGGUCCUAAACGGGCCACGAGCGGGCCCAAAAGACCGCUCGUUCCGUCCAGCCCUACCUCCCACGCAACCCUAACGCCGACGACGCCCAGUCGCUGCUGUCCGCCGUCGCGCAGCUUUCGCCGGCCGAGCUAGUCUUCACCUUCCCGCAGUCGUUGCUUUGGAAAGAAAGGGAGGGCCCUUUCACCGACAUCCACCUGCCCUGCUUUCAUCGGGCCACUUCGAUGGAGCUGGACAUGCCGCGCUACCUUGUCAGGGUGCCGCCGGCCGGGGAGUUCCCCGUGCUUGAGAGGCUGUCCGUCUCUGGUGCGAUCGUCGAGAUUGGUACCCUGGUCACCCGCUGCCCGCGUCUGCGUGUCCUCCGGGCCAAAUUCCGUGGCCUCGUGCCCAAAUCGGUGGCUCUAGCGCUGGGGUCGCUCAAGGCGGCGCUGCACUCGCGCCAAGUGGCAGUGUCCCUCCUCCUUGACAUCUGCAUCUCCGAGCUAAACUACUCACUUCUUCACAGUGCGACUGAGCUCUCGCCGGAGGAGUUCGUCUACAAAUCUUGCGCACAAAGCUGGUCCAGUCUUGAAUUUCCAAGCUUCCACCGUGCCACCUCGAUCGAGAUUGUGUGGCAUGGCAUGAGCUUCACGCAGAUGCCGUACUCCAGCGAGUUCUUUGCACUCGAGAGGCUGCGUCUCACGGGCUGCACGAUCGUCGAUCUUGGCGAGUUCAUCUCCUGCUGCCCGCGCCUUCGUGUCCUCAGGGGGGACGGAACUACGAACGACUGCCACAUCAUGGUCCAUUCAGCAUCGCUACAGGAGCUUUUCCUCGGAACCUACAAGGAAUGUCGCGGCAUCGACAUUGCGACCCCAAUGCUUCAGCACUUGGCAAUGGAAGUCCACGCGGGCGUGCAUCUCGACGUCUCUGUCUUUGCGCCAUUUGUGGAGAAGGUCUCGUGGCAGCGCUCGUAUACAAGGCCGGCUCUUGUGUAUGGUUGUUGGCUCCUCCGGAGCCUGAGCGUACAGACCAUGCCAGAGAUGCCUUCUGGUGCCCAUGUCCUAUCUGUGGACAUGCUCUGUGCCUCCGUGAGUCCCCUGCCCUUGCUCUAUACUCAGUUUACUGAAUUUGCUAACUCAGUUAAUUAGCCGUGGCUCAUUUUUCAGCAAGAUCACUCGGGUGCAUGGAUCGACUUUGCACAAGAGAUCGGGAAGCUUCAGGUGACCGACUUCUCUGUCGUGGACCUACGUCUUGAAGCAAAUGGGCAUGUGUAUGGAGCUGCCCUGCUGCAUCUCCUUCAGGCGCUUCCGGCUCAUACUAUUUCAAAACUACGUAAGGUCACCCUACUGAGGCUAGAGAAAUCGGAGGUACACUCUUUUCUUCUAUGCUUAUAUGUCUGAUAUAGGUAUAGUACUAGCCCAGUACAUUUUUUACUCUAUGUAGCAUUGAGAUGUUUCGGUUGUUGAGCCAAAUGUGUGGUGCAAGCAUACAAAAUAUUUUGCACUCUCUAUUAAUUUGUUUUAGGUGGCAGCUGGUGCAUGUAUAAACAAUUGCCCAUCUGAUGAGACCGGGAACUGGAGAAGCCAAAGUAUCCCCCUGAAUCAUUUGGAGGAAGUGGAAAUCCGAGGCUUUAGAGGAGAGGCUCAUUGCUUUGAUUUUUUGAACUUUAUAUUGAGGUGUGCACCGAUGCUAAAAAAAUCUACAAUAUUUUUUUAGCUAAUCCUUCCGUAGAUUUCUAUGUUUAUCGAAGUUGUGGUAGCGUGGUCAUGCAUCCAUGUUAACCAUGCUCCUAGAUGUAACAACACGCAUUUUUUUUCUUUAUGAAUGAGAUGCAAUGUAACUACUAUUGCUCUGUUGAAACCUAUAUCGAUGCUUUUACACUCUGAACAUGUUAUUACCUAUAAAUACUAGCUAAUUGCCUGUGCGUUGCAACGGGGCCACACUAAUUUUAAGAGUUAAAUAUUAAUCAUGUUAAUAAUACAUUUAGUAUACAUAUCAAAUGACAUUGCCGACCUUUUUAGCGUCAAAUCCUCACACACACUCUCUCUCCCCCUCUCCCUCUCCCUCUCUCUCCCCCUCUCCCUCCCUCUCUGUCCCUCUCUCUCUCUCACACACACACAUCCUUUUUUAUUGGGUGUGGGACCAUAAUCCAUCUAUAUUAUUUCCUACCUAGUGCAACCGAAUUCACAAGACCCUUCGGUUCCCUACAUCAAUUAAUUUUGAGACCCAAUUAUACAAAUACUAAUUCUCAGAAUUUGCUCUUUUUUAGAUUGACACUUUCUCAUAUAUGACAUCCACCUUAUUCGCGCUAAUGUAUAACAAUACGGAUGAUGGGUAUUAUAUUUUCCACUACAAUGGAGGGAUUUAAUUUCAUGGAAAUCGGCCAGGCACAUCUCCAUGACAAACAAUAUAUCUAAAUUAUACAUAAGAUGCAUUAUUUAUACUAUUUCUUGAAUGUGUUCAAACUAUUACUUGAACUUGCUACCACCAAAUGAUAGCAAUUAGCCAAUGACCUAUAUGUGUCGGUGCACCUUUGUAAAAUUUAGAAACUGCUCGUGUGACAAAAAGAAGAUACUGAGUGAACAUAUGGAAAGGCCUUGUGUGUAGUAGAAAUGAAUUAAUAGAAUUAGAAAACUACAAGCAGUAUAUUUAUUUUUACCCCACAAAAAGUACCAUCCCUGUAUAUUUGUUUACAGAGGGAGUAGUAUAUUUAUUCUUCACAGGAGCAACAUAUGAAAAGAGAUGAUGUUCCAUCCAUGUAUGUAUGAACAAAUUGUACAGACUGUUUGUUAUAGAAGUUUCAUCUUUAAAAAUAAUAUCAUAUAAAUACAAAGACCUACUAAAUAUCGCAAGCAUGCGACUGAAUAUUAUAGGACCAACUUUUACCAAGUACUGUACUGUUACUUUUGAUGUCCACAAAAUGCGGUGACGUAAUUCUGAGGAAAAAAUGCAGAGUUUUCCAAAACAAUUAACCACUAUACUUGUUGUAGAAGAUGGUGAAAGUAUAAACUUGUUGACGGAAACGCCAAAUGAAACUUAAAGAACACCACCCGUACAAGGAUUAAAAUCUACAACCAUACAAACUCAGCUUCAACAUGAUGACAUGUUGAAUGUAGACGUCCUCUUGCCUGCCUUCUCAAUCCUCAUGGUAUCCUCUCCCACCUUAAUUGCCUUCUCUAAUCUUCAUCUUACCCAUGUGUUGCAGCUCGUUUCAGAAAGAAAUAAAACAUGAUCUGCUAUGACUUGCAAGGAGCGUGUAUAGCGGAAAUCAAGGAAUAUCGAAGCAAUGGUUCAAUCACCUUUGAGUCUUCAACAACUGAUCAGAAUGUGGUGCCUGUGUAGGCGAGGUGGAGCCGUAGAGGAUAUGACAAUGUAACACCCCGGAUGUAAUUUACCUUAUCUGUACUCCAACUCUUGCUGUUUCCGGCACUAAGUUAUUCAUUUCCUCGUUGUCGGGUUUUUGUCUCCGUGUGUUUUGUCUUUGUCAUGCAUCUCAUAUCAUGUCAUCAUGUGCAUUGCAUUUGCAUACGUGUUCGUCUCAUGCAUCCGAGCAUUUUCCCCAUUGUCCGUUUUGCAUUCCGGCGCUCCUAUGUCCUCCGGUGGUCCUUUCUGCCUCUUUUCGUGUGUGGGGGUUAAACGUUUUCAGAUUGGACCGAUACUUGUCAUGCGGCCUUGGUUUACUAUCGGUAGACCGCCUGUCAAGUUUCGUACCAUUUGGACUUCGUUUGAUACUCCAACGGUUCACCGAGGGACCGAAAAGGCCUCGUGUGUGUUGUAGUCCAACACCCUUCCAAACUGGCCCAAAACCCACCUAAACCCUCUCCAUCAGCUAGAGCGUUCGAUCACGAUCGCGUGGCCGCAAACCGCACCUCAUUUGGAGCUUCCUAGCUCCUCCUACCUCUAUUUAUAGCCCCUUCUCCGAAAUCCCACAUCCCCUUCCACCCUAACCCUAGAUUUCCACCUCGCGCGCCAUCAGACACGUCCGACCGCAACCGGACACGUCCGCCACCUCCGUCGACCAACCCGGAGCCGCCACCUGUCCCGGGGGGACCGCAUCACCGCCCCAUCCCCGCCGGCCCGCGAGGCCCGCCGCGGGCCUUCUCGGACCAUCGCCUCCCGCCACCUCGCCCGAUCCGCCUCCUCGCCUCGACGCCGUCUUUCGUCCCCGCCGCCACCGGACGCCGCUGCGCCGCCGCACCACCUCGCGUCCGGCCGCCCGGCGCUGCCAUGCGCCAUCGCCGGCAACCGCCCCGCGCCGGCGACGCCGUCCGCCUCCUCUCCGUCCUCCUCCUCCUCCUCCGGCCGGCCACCGCGGAGACGAGCUCCGGCCACCUCAUCCACUGGCGUACAGGAACUCCGGCGACCUCUUCUUCUCCGGCAAACCUCGGGAAUCGUGAAGCUACAGUGCAUCUGGAUCUGGAUCUGGAGCAUCUCACGGUUGACUUUUCCCCUCCAAACCCUAGAUAUUUUGCAACCUUUGACAUGCCAUAACUCUGUAUCCGUAGCUCCGAUUCGUGCGUGUAGCAUAUCAAAAUGUUCGCCUCGACGAGUAUAUCAUUUCAUCUUAUUGCAUCAUUUUCAUUUGAGCUCAUCUUGAUGCCCGAAAUGUUGUUGAAAGAGGGCUAUGUGAUGAUUAUGUCAGAUCUGUUUCAGCAAAUGGCCUUUUGCCAUUUUUGCCAUGAUUAAUGUGUGCAUGCUAUGAUCCUGAGCUCUACAUGUGUUUUGUAGAAUGCCAUGCCAUCUUUACAGGGGUCUAUGCCAUGUAUUUUUGUGAUCUAUGUGGUGACUAGCACAAGCAUGCAAAGUAGCUUACUCAAUGAUGCUGAUUUCAGGGACUUAGAAUUUCACACAGUCCUUGUCCGGUAUUUGUUUUUAUGCCAUGUGUUCAUGUUGUUUCCUAAUGAUCCGUGCCUCUUUUGGGGAUGAUCAGUAAGGAUGUUUUGUUAAUAUUGUGGUGCUCUAUCCAUCCAUGUCUUUGUUUGCAUUUAUGGAGCACCCUAGCUUGAUUCAAUCGAGCUCUACUUUUGCUAUAAAAUGUUCCUGGCAGAUUGUUAACAUGUUUUGCAAUUUUGCCAAGCUUGUUGUUGUUGAUCCGUGCAUGCUAUGAUGUUGUUCUUGCCAUGUCUAGCUUAUAUGUCAUGUCUUCUUGAUGGGUGUAUGCUUAGAUUGUCAUUACAUGCUUUGUAGUGAGUGCAUCGAGCUCGUAAACAUGCCUACUUGUUAACUGUUUUGCAUGCUCCAGUUUUUCACUAUGUCUGAAACCUGUUAUCUUUUGCACUUUAGCCAUGCUUGUUUGAACCUGUUAAUGAGUGAAUUAGCCGUAUCUCAGUGUUCAUCUUUUGUCAAGCUUCAUGAGUGGAUCCCUGCCAUGUAUUUUGUUGUCAUGUUUGAGUGUUGUAGCGUAUUUAUCUUGAUGCAUUUAGAUGACUACUUGCUGAUUAUCGCAGACCGGUGCCAUAUUUGUUUUGCUUGCCAUUUCCAAACCGUGCAUCCGAAUCCGGUGAUCUUUAUAUCGAUUUCGACCAAAAUCACCUCACCUUUCCAGUGGCACUCUUGGAUUUCCAAGUUGAGGCCAGAUUCAAUCAUUCCUUUCCAAAUCUUGCAUAUGCAUCACAUAUCGCAUCCCGCAUAUCAUACCAUGUUUGCAUCAUGUUGUUGAGCAUUGCACGUGGUUGAUUGUGUUCCUUUCGCUUGUUGUUUUUUUGUGCUUGGGUAGAGCCAGGAGACGAGUUUGUGAACGAGGAACCCAUUGAGUUCGCUUACGAGGAUCAAGGCAACUCUGAGAACUUUGCAGGCAAGAUGACCAUACCCUCGAAAUCACUUCUAUCUUUGCUUGCUGGAUGCUCGCUCUUUUGCUAUGCCUAUGCUACGAACCUACCACUUGCUUAUCAUGCCUCCCAUAUUGCCAUGUCAAACCUCUAACCCACCAUGUCCUAGCAAACCAUUGUUCGGCUAUGUUACCGCUUUACUCAGCCCCUCUUAUAGCGUUGCUAGUUGCAGGUGAAGAUUGGAGAUCGUUCCUUGUUGGAACAUGUUUAUUGUUGGGAUAUCACAAUAUUAUCUUGUUAUCUCAAUGCACCUAUAUACUUGGUAAAGGGUGGAAGGCUCGGCCUUAUGCCUAGUGUUUUGUUCCACUCUUGCCGCCCUAGUUUUCGUCAUAUCGGUGUUAUGUUCCUGGAUUUUGCGUUCCUUACAUGGUUGGGUUAUAAUGGGAACCCCUUGAUAGUUCGCCUUGAAUAAAACUCCUCCAGCAAUGCCCAACCUUGGUUUUACCAUUUGCCACCUAGCCUCUUUUUCCCUUGGGUUUCCGGAGCCCAAGGGUCAUCUUUAUUUAAACUCCCCCCCCGGGCCAGUGCUCCUCUGAGUGUUGGUCCAAACUAGAGUCAUGUGCAGCGCCCCCUCAAGGAAACUCGAGGUUUGGUUUUAGUUGUAUGGAGUGCUCAUCUGAGUGUGCCAUGAGAACGAGAUAUGUGCAGCUCCUAUCGGGAUUUGUCGGCACAUUCGGGCGGUGUUGUUGGACUUGUUUUACCAUUGUCGAGGAUGUCUUGUAACCGGGAUGCCGAGUCCGAUCGGAUUGUCUUAAGAGAAGGAAUAUCCUUCAUUGACCGUGAGAGCUUGUGAUGGGCUAAAUUGGGACUCCCCUGCAGGGAUUUGAACUUUCGAAAGCCGUGCCCGCGGUUAUGGGCAGAUGGGAAUUUGUUAAUGUCCGGUUGUAGAUAACAUGAAACUUAACUUAAUUAAAAUGCACCAACCGCGUGUGUAACCGUGAUGGUCUCUUCUCGGCGGAGUCCGGGAAGUGAACACGGUGUUGGAGUAAUGCUUGACGUAGGUUGUUCUAGGAUCACUUCUUGAUCGUAGUUGUUCGACCGUGCUUUUGCCUUCUCUUCUCGCUCUCUUUUGCGUAUGUCAGCCACCAUAUAUGCUAGUCGCUAGCUGCAGCUCCACAUCAUACCUUUGCCUUUCCUAUAAGCUUAAAUAGUCUUGAUCACGAGGGUGCGAGAUUGCUGAGUCCCCGUGACUCACAUAUUACUUCCAAACCAGAUGCAGGGACCGAUGAUACCAUUCCAUAUGAUAUGUCCGAGCUCAAGUGGGAGUUCGAUGAAGACUCUCGUCGUUACUAUGUGUCUUUCCUAGAUGAUCAGUAGUGGUGCCCAGUUGGGGCGAUCGGGGACUUUGUCGCAUUUGGGGGUUGUUCUUCAUUUUGGUUCCGUGGUCGGACCUUGAGUGUAUUGGAUGAAUGUAAUGACUUAUUUAUGUAUUUGUGUGACGUGGCGAGGUGUAAGCCAACUAUGUACCUUUUCCCCUUUAUUUAUGUACAUGGGUUGUUUGCGAAGAUUACCUCACUUGUGACAUUGCUUUCAAUGUGGUUAUGCCUCUAAGUCGUGCUUCGACACGUGGGAGAUAUAGCCGCAUCGAGGGCGUUACAGACAACCUAGCCACUUUGAUAGUAGAGAAAACCACAAACAUAACCUCCUCUUCGCACUCAUCUUCCCAUGGGAGUGGACGUAUAUGUCCCUCUCCCUCGCUCCGAGCUCUACUGAUACAAGCCACACAUGCUACCUAGCAAUGGCCGCUUUUUGAUGCACGCUGAAGUUGGAUGACCUCCCCAGGUUAUUGUCGCGUGAGAUCCUACCGAACAUAGGCAUUGCAGCCUCGCAACCUUAGGGCUCAAACACACAUGUCGUCUGCCGAUCGCCUCCCCACCACCUCGGCACACCGACCUCUGCGCUGCCCCCUACAGCACAAAGGCCGACCGACCUCAAGCAAGAACGUCCUUCGACCACCGCCACUACCGCGCCAAUUCAGCACACCACGCAUGUCGACGCCGCGUUCUGUGUUCAUGCGUCGUCGCCGCCGGUCGUAGUUGUGAGCCCCAUGCAACUCGACAAGCCACUCCGUGUUCAUGUGUCGUCGCCACUGAAGGAAAUAUGCCCUAGAGGCAAUAAUAAAGUUAUCAUUUAUUUCCUUAUAUCAUGAUAAAUGUUUAUUAUUCAUGCUAGAAUUGUAUUAACUCGAAACAUGAUACAUGUGUGAAUAUAUAGACAAACAGAGUGUCACUAGUAUGCCUCUACUUGACUAGCUCGUUAAUCAAAGAUGGUUAUGUUUCCUAACCAUUGACAUGAGUUGUCAUUUGAUUAACGGGAUCACAUCAUUAGGAGAAUGAUAUGAUUGACAUGACCCAUUCCGUUAGCUUAGCACAUGAUCGUUUAGUAUGUUGCUAUUGCUUUCUUCAUGACUUAUACAUGUUCCUAUGACUAUGAGAUUAUGCAACUCCCGUUUACUGGAGGAACACUUUGUGUGCUACCAAACGUCACAACAUAACUGGGUGAUUAUAAAGGUGCUCUACAGGUGUCUCCGAAGGUACUUGUUGGGUUGGCAUAUUUCAAGAUUAGGAUUUGUCACUCCGAUUGUCGGAGAGGUAUCUCUGGGCCCUCUCGGUAAUGCACAUCACUUAAGCCUUGCAAGCAUUGCAACUAAUGAGUUAGUUGCGGAAUGAUGUAUUACGCAACGAGUAAAGAGACUUGCCAGUAACGAGAUUGAACUAGGUAUUGAGAUAAUGACGAUCGAAUCUCGGGCAAGUAACAUACCGAUGACAAAGGGAACAACGUAUGUUGUUAUACGGUCUGACCGAUAAAGAUCUUCGUAGAAUAUGUGGGAGCCAAUAUGAGUAUCCAGGUUCCGCUAUUGGUUAUUGAUCGGAGACGUGUCUCGGUCAUGUCUACAUAGUUCUCGAACCCGUAGGGUCUGCACGCUUAACGUUUUGAUGAUAGUUAUAUUAUGAGUUUGUAUGUUUUGAUGUACCGAAGGUUGUUCGGAGUCCCGGAUGUGAUCAUGGACAUGAGAAGGAGUCUCGAAAUGGUCGAGACAUGAAGAUUGAUACAUUGGAAGCCUAUGUUUGGAUAUCAGAAGUGUUCCGGGUGAAAUCGGGAUUUUACCGGAGUACCAGGAGGUUACCGGACCCCCCGGGAACCUAAUGGGCCUUAGUGGGCCUAGGUGGAAGAGAGGAGAGGCGGAUAGGGCUGGGCCGCGCGCCCCUCCCCCAAGUCCGAAUAGGACAAGGAGAGGGGGCGGCGUCCCCCCUUUCCUUCUUCUCCUCCACUCCUUCCCCUCCCAAGUCCUAAUCCAACUAGGAAAGGGGGAGUCCUACUCCCAGGACUCCUCCCGGCGCGCCCUCUCCCUUGGCCGGCUGCAACCCCCCUUGCUCCUUUAUAUACGGGGGCAGGGGCACCCUAGAGACAAAACAAUUGAUCAUUGAUCUCUUAGUCGUGUGUGGUGCCCCCCUCCACCAUAGUCCACCUCGAUAAUACUGUAGCGGUGCUUAGGCAAUGCCCUGCGUCGGUAGAACAUCAACAUCGUCACCACGCCGUCGUGCUGACAAAACUCUCCCUCAACACUCGGCUGGAUCGGAGUUCGAGGGUCGUCAUCGGGCUAAACGUGUGCUGAACUCGGAGGUGUUGUACGUUCGGUACUUGAUCGGUCGGAUCAUGAAGACGUACGACUACAUAAACCGCGUUGUGCUACCGCUUCUGCUUUCGGUCUACGAGGGUACGUGGAUAACAUUGUCCCCUCUCGUUGCUAUGCAUCACCAUGAUCCUGUGUGUGCGUAGGAAUUGUUUUUGAAAUUACUACGUUCCCCAACAGUGGCAUCCGAGUCUGUUUUUAUGCGUAGAUCUUAUAUGCAUGAGUAGAACACAAGUGAGCUGUGGGCGAUACAAGUCAUACUGCUUACCAGCAUGUCGUACUUUGGUUCGGCGGUAUUGUUGGAUGAAGCGGCCCGGACCGACAUUACGCAUAUGCUUACGCGGGACUGGUUCUAUCGACGUGCUUUGCACACAGGUGGCUGGCGGGUGUCAUUUUCUCCAACUUUAGUUGAACCGAGUGUGGCUACGCCCGGUCCUUGAGAAGGUUAAAACAACACUAACUUGACGAACUAUCAUUGUGGUUUUGAUGCGUAGGUAAGAACGGUUCUUACUCAGCCCGUAGCAGCCACGUAAAACUUGCAACAACAAAGUAGAGGACGUCUAACUUGUUUUUGCAGGGCAUGUUGUGAUGUGAUAUGGUCAAGACGUGAUGAGAUAUAAGUUGUUGUAUGAGAUGAUCAUGUUUUGUUGAAGUUAUCGGCAACUGGCAAAAGCCUUAUGGUUGUCUCUCUAUUGCAUAAGAUGCAAGCGCCAAAUAAUUGCUUUACUUUAUCGAUAUGCGAUAGCAAUAGUUGCAAGAGCAAUAGUUGGCGAGGCGACCAUGUGACGACACAUUGAUAUAGAUCAAGAUGAUGGAGAUCAUGGUGUCAUGCCGGUGACAAUGGAGAUCAUGACGAUGCUUUGGAGAUGGAGAUCAAAGGCACAAGUUGAUGAUGGCCAUAUCAUGUCACAUAUUAUGAUUGCAUGUGAUGUUUAUCUUUUAUACAUCUUAUUUUGCUUAGUUCGGCGGCAACUUUAUAAGAUGAUCUCUCACUAAAUUUCAAGAUAAAAGUGUUCUCCCUGAGUAUGCACCGUUGCCAAAGUUCGUCGUGCCCAGACACCACAUGAUGAUCGGGUAUGAUAAGCUCUACGUCCAUCUACAACGGGAGCAAGCCAGUUUUGCACAAGAAGAAUACUCAGGUUAAACUUGACGAGCCUAGCAUAUGCAGAUAUGGCCUCGGAACACUGAGACCGAAAGGUCGAGCGUGAAUCAUAUAGUAGAUAUGAUCAGCAUAGUGAUGUUCACCAUUGAAAACUACUCCAUUUCACGUGAUGAUCGGUUAUGGUUUAGUUGAUUUGGAUCACGUGAUCACUUAGAUGACUAGAGGGAUGUCUAUCUAAGUGGGAGUUCUUAAGUAAUAUGAUUAAUUGAACUUUAAUUUAUCAUGAACUUAGUCCUGGUAGUAUUAGCAUAUCUAUGUUGUAGAUCAAUUGCUCGCGUUUAGCUCCCCUGUUUUAUUUUUGGUAUGUUCCUAGAGAAAACUAAGUUGAAAGAUGUUAGUAGCAAUGAUACGGAUUGGAUCUGUGAUCUGAUGAUUAUCCUCAUUGCCGCACAAAAGAAUUAUGUCCUUGAUGCACCGCUAGGUGACAGACCUAUUGCAGGAGCAGAUGCAGACGUUAUGAACGUUUGGCUAGCUCAAUAUGAUGACUACUUGAUAGUUUAGUGCACCAUGCUUAACGGCUUAGAAUCGGAACUUCAGAGACGUUUUGAAGUCAUGGACCAUAUGAGAUGUUCCAGGAGUUGAAGUUAAUAUUUUAAGCAAAUACCCGAGUUGAGAGAUAUGAAAUCUCCAACAAGUUCUAUAGCUAAAAGAUGGAGGAGAAUAGCUCAAGCAGUGAGCAUGUGCUCAGAUUGUCUGGGUACUACAAUCGCUUGAAUCAAGUGGGAGUUAAUCUUCUAGAUAAAAUAGUGAUUUACAGAAUUCUCUAGUCACCAUCACCAAGUUAGUGGAACUUCGUGAUGAACUAUAAUAUGCAAGGGAUAAUGGAAACGAUUCCCAAGCUCUUCGUGAUGCUGAAAUCGACGGAGGUAGAAAUCAAGAAAGAGCAUCAAGUGUUGAUGGUUAACAAGACCACUAGUUUCAAGAAAAGGGCAAAGGGAUAGAAAGGGAACUUCAAGAAGAACAACAAGCAAGUUGCUACUCAAGUGAAGAAGCCCAAGUCUGGACCUAAGCCUGAGACUAAGUGCUUCUACUGCAAAGGGACUAGUCACUAGAAGCGGAAACACCCCAAGUAUUUGGCGGAUAAGAAGGAUGGCAAAGUGAACAAGCUAUAUUUGAUAUACAUGUUAUUGAUGUGUACCUUACUAGUGUUUAUAGUAGCCCCUGGGUAUUUGAUACUUGUUCGGUUGCUAAAAAUUAGUAACUCGAAACAGGAGUUACAAAAUGAACAGAGACUAGUUAAGGGUGAAGUGACGAUGUGUGUUGGAAUUGGUUCCAAGAUUGAUAUGAUCAUCAUCGCACACUUCCUAUACUUUCGGGAUUAGUGUUGAACCUAAAUAGGUAUUAUUUGGUGUUUGCGUUGAGCAUAAAUAUGAUUUAAUCAUGUUUAUUGUAAUAUGGUUAUUCAUUUAAGUUAGAGAACAAUUGUUGUUCUGUUUACAUGAAUAGAACCUUCUAUGGUCGUAUACACCAACAAAAAUGGUUUGUUGGAUCUCGAUCGUAGUGAUACACAUAUUCAUAAUAUUGAAGCCAAAAAGAUGCAAAGUUAAUAAUGAUAGUGCAACUUAUUAGUGGCACUGCCGUUUAGGUCAUAUUGGUGUAAAACGCAUGAAGAAACUCCAUGUUGAUGGGCUUUUGGAAUCACUUGAUGCUUGCGAACCAUGCCUCUUGGGCAAGAUGACUAAAACGCCGUUCUCUGGAAGAAUGGAGCAAGCAACAGAUUUGUUGGAAAUCAUACAUACUGAUGUAUGUGGUCCGAUGAGUGUUGAGGCUCGCGGCGGGUAUCGUUAUUUUCUGACAUUCACAGAUGAUUUAAGCAGAUAUGGGUAUAUCUACUUGAUGAAACAUAAAGUCUGAAAUAUUUGAAAAGUUCAUAUAAUUUCAGAGUGAAGUGGAAAAUCAUCGUAACAAGAAAAUAAAGUUUCUACGAUCUGAUCGUGGAGGAGAAUAUUUGAGUUACGAGUUUGGUCUUCAAUUAAAACAAUGUGGAAUAGUUUAACAAACUCAUGCCACCUGGAACACCACAUCGUAAUCGUGUGUCCGAACAUCAAAACCGUACUUUAUUGGAUAUAGUGCACUCUAUGAUGUCUCUUACCAAUUUACCACUAUCAUUUUGGGGUUAUGCAUUAGAGACAGCUGCAUUCACGUUAAAAAGGGCACCAUCUAAAUCCGUUGAGACGACACCGUAUGAACUGUGGUUUAGCAAGAAACCUAAGAUGUCGUUUCUUAAAGUUUGGACUUGCGAUGCUUAUGUGAAAAAGUUUCAUCUUGAUAAGCUCAAACCCAAGUCGGAGAAGUGCGUCUUCAUAGGAUACCCAAAGGAGACAGUUGGGUACACCUUCUAUCACAGAUCCGAAGGCAAGACAUUCAUUGCUAAGAAUGGAUCCUUUCUAGAGAAGGAGUUUCUCUCAAAAGAAGUGAGUGGGAGGAAAGUAGAACUUGAUGAGGUAACUGUACCUACUCCCUUAUUGGAAAGUAGUUCAUCACAGAAAUCUGUUCCUGUGACUCCUACACCAAUUAGUGAGCAAGCUAAUGAUGAUGAUCAUGUAACUUCAGAUCAAGUUACUACCGAACCUCGUAGGUAAACUAGAGUGAGAUCGCACCAGAGUGGUACGGUAAUCCUGUUCUAGAGGUCAUGUUACUUGACCAUGACGAACUACGAACUAUGAGUAAGCGAUGAUGAGCCCAGAUUCCGCGAAAUGGCUUGAGGCCAUGAAAUCUGAGAUGGGAUCCAUGUAUGAGAACAAAGUGUGGACUUUGAUUGACUUGCCUGAUGAUCAGCAAGCCAUAGAAAAAUAAAUGGAUUUUCAAGAGGAAUACGGACACUGAUAGUAGUGUUACUAUCUACAAAGCUCGACUUGUCGAAAAAGGUUUUGACAAAGUUCAAGGUGUUGACUAUGAUGAGAUUUUCUCACUCGUAGCGAUGCUUAAGUCUGUCCGAAUCAUGUUAGCAAAUUGCCACAUUUUAUGAAAUCUGGCAAAUGGAUGUCAAAACCACAUUCCUUAAUGGAUUUCUUAAAUAAGAGUUGUAUAUGAUGCAACCAGAAGGUUUUGUCGAUCCUAAAGGUGCUAACAAAAUGUGCAAGCUCCAGCGAUCCAUCUAUGGACUGGUGCAAACAUCUCGAAGUUGGAAUAUACACUUUGAUGAGUUGAUCAAAGCAUAUAGUUUUAUACAGACUUGCGGUGAAGCCUGUAUUUACAAGAAAGUGAGUGGGAGCACUACAACAUUUCUGAUAAGUAUAUGUGAAUGACAUAUUGUCGAUCGGAAAUAAUGUAGAAUUAUUUUGCAAAGCAUAAAGGAGUGUUUGAAAGGAGUUUUUCAAAGAAAGUCCUCGGUGAAGCUGCUUACAUAUUGAGCAUCAGGAUAUAUAGAGAUAGAUCAAGACGCUUGAUAAGUUUUUUCAAUGAGUACAUACCUUGACAAGAUUUUGAAGUAGUUCAAAAUGGAACAGUCAAAGAAAGAGUUCUUGCCUAUGUAACAAGGUGUGAAAUUGAGUAAGACUCAAAGCCCGACCACGGUAGAAGAUAGAAAGAGAAUGAAAGUCAUUCCCUAUGCCUCAGCCAUAGGUUCUAUAAAGUAUGCCAUGUUGUGUACCAGAUCUAUUGUAUACCCUACACUGUGUUAAGCAAAGGAGUACAAUAGUGAUCUAAGAGUAGAUCACUGGACAGCGGUCAAAAUUAUCCUUAGUGGAAUAAGGAUAUGUUUCUCGAUUAUGGAGGUGACAAAAGGUUCGUCGUAAAGGGUUACGUCGAUGCAAGUUUUGACACUGGUCUAGAUGACUCUAAGUCUCGAUCUAGAUACAUAUUGAAAGUGGGAGCAAUUAGCUAGAGUAGCUCCAUACAGAGCAUUGUUGACAUAGAAAUUUGCAAAAUACAUACGGAUCUGAAUGUGACAGACCCAUUGACUAAACUUCUCUCACAAGCAAACAUGCUCACACCUUAGUACUCUUUGGGUGUUAAUCACAUAGCGAUGUGAACUAGACUAUUGACUCUAUAGUAAACCCUUUGAGUGUUAAUCACAUGGUGAUGUGAACUAUUGGUGUUAAAUCACAUGGUGAUGUGACAUAGAUUAUUGGCUCUAGUGCAAGUGGGAGACUGAAGGAAAUAUGCCCUAGAGGCAAUAAUAAAGUUAUUAUUUAUUUCCUUAUAUCAUGAUAAAUGUUUAUUAUUCAGGCUAGAAUUGUAUUAACCGGAAACAUGAUACAUGUGUGAAUACAUAGACAAACAGAGUGUCACUAGUAUGCCUCUACUUGACUAGCUCGUUAAUCAAAGAUGGUUAUGUUUCCUAACCAUUGACAUGCGUUGUCAUUUGAUUAACGGGAUCACAUCAUUAGGAGAAUGAUAUGAUUGACAUGACCCAUUCCGUUAGCUUAGCACACGAUCAUUUAGUAUGUUGCUAUUGCUUUCUUCAUGACUUAUACAUGUUCCUAUGACUAUGAGAUUAUGCAACUCCCGUUUACCGGAAGAACACUUUGUGUGCUACCAAACAUCACAACGUAACUGGGUGAUUAUAAAGGUGCUCUACAGGUGUCUCCGAAGGUACUUGUUGGGUUGCUGUAUUUCAAGAUUAGGAUUUGUCACUCUGAUUGUCGGAGAGGUAUCUCUGGGCCCUCUCGAUAAUGCACAUCACUUAAGCAUUGCAACAAAUGAGUUAUUUGCGGAAUGAUGUAUUACGGAACGAGUAAAGAGACUUGUCGGUAACGAGAUUGAACUAGGUAUUGAGAUACCGACGAUCGAAUCUCGGGCAAGUAGCAUACUGAUGACGAAGGAAACAACGUAUGUUGUUAUGCGGUCUGACCGAUAAAGAUCUGUCAGGACCCCGAUUCCAAGUCACAUCGAUCUAGCCGGUAACACCUCAUAUCACUUUGCGGCCUCACGCACGGUAUUCCCACGGGUAUCGCCUUACCAUGGCCCGGGACCAUUUGCGCCUUUUGGCUCACGUAUAUGAUGAUGUCGCUAGCAUCCAUAUGACAAAGAACCCGGGCCAACAUGACUAGUCGUGAACCCAGAGUGGCACUAACUUACAGGGACGGGCAUACAUGAAUCAACAUCGAGCAUGUCGGUCAGCAGCGUGCGAAUCCAGGCUGUAGCACUGGGCUAACAGGACUUGAACCUGGCUGUAGCAGGCUAGGCAGGACUCUGGAUGUCACCACGUGACAUUUCCCCGAAGGGACAGACACAGGAACGAAGUGAAUCACAUGCCGGCCAGUCAAGUGUUCCGGAGCAGUAGUGCUGGGCUAGCAGGACUCCGGUGAACCGGGCUGUAGCAGACUACUAUGGCUCAUGGAAGCACAAGACUACAUUUCCCCAUAAGAGAGGCUACCAAGGAUAAACAACUAGGUUGUCGGAUCCCACACAUACCAAGCAUUUCAAUCAUACACACAAUAUGCUCGAUAUGUGUAAAUACAACAUGGCAUCACAACAAGACUCUACGACUCAAAGUAUUUAUUUAUUAGGCUUCGAGGAGCGAGAUAUUACAAACAUGGGUCUCAUGACCCAACAUUCAGAGCAUACAAGCAACAAGCACAUGCGGAAGCUUAACAUGUCUGAGUACAGACAUCUACAAAUGAAAAAGGCUUGAGAAGCCUGACUAUCUACAAGAUCCUGCCGAGGGCACAAGAUCGUAGCUGAGGUAUCAAGCUAAAAGUGGAAGUCCACGUGGAACUACUAGCGAGACUGAAGUCUCUCUGCAAAACAUAAAUUAAGCAAACGUGAGUACAAAUGUACCCAGCAAGACUUACAUCAAAACUAACUACAUAUGCAUCGGUAUCAACAAAGGGGUAGUGGAGUUUAACUACAGCAAGCCAGCUUUGACUCAGUGGCUAACCUGAACUAUGACUGCAAGCAAAUCUUUGAGGCGGCGCACACGAGUCCACAUAUUCACCAUAUCAAUACACCACUAUGGAUCCGCUCCCGUCUCCCUACGAGAAGGCCAUCCAUAGCACUCACGCUUAUCUUGCGAGUUUUAGAGUAUCCACUUCAAGUUAUCUAUGAACUAUAUAGGCAACCAAGCAGUCCUUUACCGCGGACGCGGCUAUUCGAAUAGAUGAUGUUAACCCUGCAGGGGUGUACUUCUUCUUACACGCUCUUACCACUUACCUUCGUUUACACGACAUGUACUCGACAACCUUCAAGUGGAAGCCCAACGAGGGUGUCGGCCACGGCCUACCUAAACACUCAAGUCUCUAGUCCAGGUUUAUCGUCUAUCCAGGUUCCAUCCGCGGGGAGUCCGGCCGAGGUUUCCACAUACGGCCCCGAACGAUGUGUACAGGGUUUCGAGACACCAAACGGGUGCCCGGCAUGCCCGGCCACGGUGUAUCUACCGCAACAUAGCCCACCCUUGGGGUCAGGCUACGCACGGCCGCCAACACAUAUCCUACAAACACCAGAAACUAGUUGCAACCCCUGGACAGAGGACUAGGGUGGUUAAGAAGCCGAGAGGGUCAAUUAAGGAUCCCAAUGCAUGGUAGUAACUGGUUCUUAAAAUCACACAUACAGAUCUCAGUGCUUAAGGACGGUUCCAAAGAAACAACCCACCAUGUACUCCUACAUGGCCUUUCAUCGAUACCUUUACCAAAUCGUGUUCAACACACUUAGCUCACACACAUUAGGACAUGUUCACAACUUUCCAAUUCAUCCCCGAUGAAUCAGACCUGACACAACUCUAAGCAAUAGCAGGCAUGACAAGAAAACAUGAAUGAGUAGGCGCAUCAGGGCUCAAACAACUCCUACUCAUGCUAGUGGGUUUCAUUUAUUUACUGUGGCAACGACAGGUCAUGCAGAGGAAAGGGGUUCAACUACCGCAGCAUGUAACAGUUGAAAUGUUGUUGUCCUAAUGCAGUAAAAGAGAGCAGGAGCGAGAGAGUGGGAUUGUAUCGGGAUGAACAAGGGGGUUUUGCUUGCCUGGCACUUAUGAAGAUAGUAUAUCUCUUCAUCGGUGUCAAUGAUCACAUCAUCGGAGCAACGUCUACUAAGAGGGGACAAUCACCGGCAAACACAAAAGAACCAACAUUCACUGCAAUGCACAAUCAAAUUAAUGCCAUGUCAUGUUAAGGAACUGAAUUGACCUAAUGCAGCAGUAAGCCAAGUUAAUUGAAGUGGAAUUCAAACAGGGUUAAACUCCAACUCCAAAUGCUAGUUCAUAAAUUGCCCUAAUCAUGAUUUAUCCUAUUCAGUGAGGUUAACUUGUUCAAUCAUGCAUGAAAGUGCCAUAAACAGAUUCUUCAUAUUUUUCUGAUCAUUUUUCAUAUAUAAUUUAUUUCAUUUGGAGUUACGGUUGAAUUUCUAUGAUUUUUAGAAGUUUAUACUAUUUUCUAGAAUUUCCUGGUUAUUAAUAAAUCCAGAAAAUGUAAUACUAUGUCAGCAUUAGGUCAUGCUGACAUCAGCAGGUCAACAGGCGCCGUCCAGGUCAAACCUGACCAGUGGGGCCCACUGGUCAGUGACUCAGUUAGUUAACUGGGUUAAUUAGAGUUAGACUAAUUCUAACAAGAAUGUCAGCAGGGCUGGGCCCACAUGUCAAUGGCUCAAGGUUAGUUUAGUGAGGGGAUUAACACCUGACGGCGGUGAUUAACACUAACUAACACCUAACUAAUCCAGUUAGGGCCGGCCCCACGUGUUAGUGACUCUGGGAGGGGCCCAGCUGGGGUCAAAGUGGGUCAACCCACCGGCGACUCGACGCCGGCGAGGCCAGGGACGGUGGAGGGGUGCAGGUUUCCUCCUCCGGCGACCAAAUGGCCGGCGGAGGGCAUCUACGUGACGCGGGCACUCGUCCGCAUCGAGUGGUGUAGGUGGUUGGGUCUAUGGUGGCCGAAGCCGACGACGGCGAGCUCCAAGGCGGCGGCCGGAGUUCGGCAAUGACGGGUUCGGUGCUAUGGUGCAUGGGAGGACGAGCUGGUGGGUGCUACAGACUCCUGGGGGUGCACUAAGUGCAGUGACGCGCUCGGUUUGGACGGAGGCAAACCAAAACGACGACGGCGACAAGUCCGGCGCCGGUGAGGUCUUGGUCUCGACAGAAAUGUGGGCUACAAUGAGCUAAUGGACAUGGGAGUAGGGGGAUCGGUACAGGAGCUCACGGCGAGUGCAGAGGUGGGCUCGGCGUGCUCGGGGAAGCACCGGAGCGAGCGGGGCGGCGAGAGGCAUCUCCGGUGGCCGGCGACGAAGACGAUGAAGAUGGCAUCGAUGCAAGGCCUCUGGGGAGGCGUGGCUGGACGGAGAGGACGAGGGAGGCGUGGCGAUGCUCGUGGACACGUCGAGGAGGCGAGGGAAGCACGGAGGCCGCGUCUACGGCAUACGACGGCGACGAGCUCCGCUCGGCUUCGGGAGAGAGAGCGAGAGAGGCGAGGCAGGGAGAGUGGGGAGCGGUCGAGGGGGUCCAGGGGGGUAGUGUGGCGUCGCGGAGGGAGUCCAGGGCGACGAGGGGGCAGCCAGGCAGGCAGCUGCCGGCGUGGCACAUCGCGGCGCCGUGGCUGUCUUCUCCUCUCCCUUCUGGCAGGAGGAAGAAGAUGCCCCUGCCCUCGGUGCUCCGGCCAGGUGGCUGGGCUGCCAGGUGGUUGGGCCUCUGCUACAGGAGCAGGCCACGUGAGGUAAGCCCAGGUUAUUUUCAUUUCUCUGUUUAUAUUUUCUGUUUUGUUUUCUUUGUUUAUUUCUUUUGCCACUGUUUUCAAAUAGAACAAAUCCAAACCAAUGACAAAAUUCCUCUGAAUAUUUUUAUGUUGCUUAAUGGACUUUUCCAGAAGCACAUAAAUGUUUCAGGGUAUUUGGAAAUAUAUUCUAUACAAGUUAUGAAUAUAAUUCCAAAUGCAAAUAAAAUAAUGAUUUAAAUUCAGUGCCCAAAAUAUUCCUCAAAGAUGCUCAUUAUUUUUGGUUUGGUGCAAAAACCUUUGCCAAAUAUAACCAACAUUAUUUAAGGCCAUUUUGGAAACACUGAAUGCAAUUUCCAGGGUUCUUUGCCCUGCUUUUAAUUAAAGUUUUGAGGCUUCAACAAUCCUCAAUUCAAGUUUCAGAAAUUUAAAUAUGAUGCCUGGAUGAAGAUGCAACUAUUUACAACAAUAUUCAAGGGCUGUGACAACUCACCCCCACUAGACAAGAAUCUCGUCCCGAGAUUCAAGACGUGAGGUAAGAAGACAGAGGGGGCACGAGACCAACACAAUCUUCGCGAUCCAGGUUGCACCUCAUAAGAUUGUUGAUUCAUUGCAUACGUUGAUCUUGACAUCGUCGCUUUUGAGAUCUUCAUCCACGCGAUGACGACGGAAAGAAACUCUACUAGGAUUAAUCUUCUCGAAGAUCGAGCUAUACAAGAUCAACUCGCGGAAUGAGAUGUUGAAACAUCUCGAGCUGAGACACAAAACACAUCGAGAGGGCUGGAAGAACAAACGACUAGGUUUGAUUUGGUGGGCAACAAUUCCACGCUAGAGAGAUGGUGGAUGGUGUCAAGGUGGCGAGGAAAUAAUUGCCAUGAUCCCAUAACGGGGCACAUUGGGGGAGGUGACUUGUGGAGUUAUUCCCCAAAUGGCAAAAAGAAUUACUUUUGAUAUUUGGAUCAUUGAAACUCUUUAUACCAGCCUAAGGAAUUUCACAACAAUCGCUUGGCGGAGUAAGAAGGGAUAGCAUACUGAUACGUCUCCGUCGUAUCUAUAAUUUUUGAUUGUUCCAUGCCAAUAUUAUUCAACUUUCAUAUACUUUUGGCAACUUUUUAUAAUAUUUUUGGGACUAACAUAUUGAUCCAGUGCCCAGUGCCAGUUCCUGUUUGUUGCAUGUUUUUUGCUUUGCAGAAUAUCCAUAUCAAACGGAGUCCAAACGGAAUAAAAACUGACGGAGAUUUUUUUGGAAUAUAUAUGAUUUUUGGGAAGAAGAAUCCACGCGAGACGAUGCUCGAGGGGCCCAUGAGGUAGGGGGCGUGCCCCAGGGUGUCAAGCGCGACCCUGACCCUCGUGGCCACCCCGUAAGGCGGUUGAUGCCCUUCUUUCGCCACAAGAAAGCUAAUUUCUGGAUAGAGAUCGCGUCAAAAUUUCAGCCCAAUCGGAGUUACGUAUCUUCGGGAAUAUAAGAAACGGUGAAAGGGAAGAAUCUGAGAACGCAGAAAUAGAGAGAGACAGAUCCAAUAUCGGAGGGGCUCUCGCCCCUCCCGUGCCAUGGAGGCCAUGGACCAGAGGGGAAACCCUUCUCCCAUCCAGGGAGGAGGUCAAGGAAGAAGAAGAAGGAGGGGGGCUCUCUCCCCCUCGCUUCCGGUGGCACCGGAGUGCCACCGGGGGCCAUCAUCAUCACCGUGAUCUACACCAACACCUCCGCCAUCGUCACCAACAUCUCCAUCACCUUCCCCCCUCUAUCUACAGCGGUCCACUCUCCCGCAACCCGCUGUACCCUCUACUUGAACAUGGUGCUUUAUGCUUCGUAUUAUUAUCCAAUGAUGUGUUGCCAUCCUAUGAUGUCUGAAUAGAUUUUUGUUGUCCUAUCGGUGGUUGAUGAAUUGCUAUGAUUGAUUUAAUUUGCUUGUGGUUAUGUUGCUGUCCUUUUGUGCCCAUCAUAUGAUUGCGCGUGUGGAUCACACCCUAGGGUUAGUUGUAUGUUGAUAGGACUAUGUAUUGGAGGGCAAGAGUGACAGAAGCUUCAACCUAGCAUAGAAAUUGAUGCAUACGGGAUUAAAGGGGGACCAAUAUAUCUUAAUGCUAUGGUUGGGUUUUACCUUAAUGAACAUUAGUAGUUGCGGAUGCUUGCUAAUAGUUCCAAUCAUAAGUGCAUAGAAUUCCAAGUAAGGGAUGACAUGCUAGCAGUGGCCUCUCCCACAUAAUACUUGCUAUCGGUCUUGUAAAGUAGUCAAUUGCUUAGGGGCAAUUCUGCAACUCCUACCACCAUUUUUCCACACUCUCUAUAUUUACUUUAUUGUUUCUUUAUCUAAACGGCCCCUACUUUUUAUUUAUGUACCCUUUAUUAUCUUGCAAACCUAUCCAACAACACCUACAAAGUACUUCUAGUUUCAUACUUGUUCUAGGUAAAGCGAACAUCAAGCGUGCGUAGAGUUGUAUCGGUGGUCAAUAGAACUUGAGGAAAUAUUUGUUCUACCUUUAGCUCCUCGUUGGGUUCGACACUCUUACUUAUCGAAAACUGUUGCGAUCCCCUAUACUUGUGGGUUAUCAAGACCUUUUUCUGGAGCCGUUGCUGGGGAGCAAUAGCGUGGGGUGAAUAUUCUCGUGUGUGCUUGUUUGCUUUAUCACUAAGUAAUUUUUUAUUUGCUGUUCUUAGUUGUUUUCUACCUUUAGUUAUGGGUAGGAAACACAAAAUACCAAAAAAAUAGUUGUACCUACUGAACCAAUGGAUGAAGAACCAAUCAAAAUCUAUCACACUGCUGAAGCUUAUUACUUGGAUCAUCUUCGAUCCCUUUGUGCUCGUGCCGAAACCCCAACUAGCUUAGUUGAGGGAAAAUCUUUAGAUGAGUAUGCUUGUUAUGUGCGACACCGUAUAUUUGAAAAAGGGAAACUAUUAUGGAGUCAAAUUCAACGUUUGCAAUGCUAUGCUUGGAAUUUAUGUGAAAUAUAUGAUUUUACUUGUUGUUCUGAAAACCCUAAGAAACACCUUCCCUAUCAAUGUGAGUUUAGUAAUAAUGGAAUCGUAUCUUCGUAUGCUAAGGGUGUUUAUAAUUACUAUGAUGUUCAACAAAUUGAAGAAUUUGUUGCUUUUAAGGGUGCUUCUGAAAUUGCUUCUUUGAUUGAAAAGUAUGAUGGUACUCUUCACAAAUCUGAAAAUUUUGCCAUACUUGAAUAUUGUUAUGAGAAUUAUGCUUCUAAUGCUUAUGUUAAAUUAUACAUUGAGGACUACUCCACUGUCCAAGAAGAGACUAAUAUUUUGCAGGAGUCUAUGGAAGAAGAAAUUGGUGAAACUGUGAGAUCAUUGGAUGAAAAAGAUGAGGAGGAGAGCGAACAACAAAAGGAGGAAGAGCGGAUUGAUCACCCGUGCCCACCUUCUAAUGAGAGUAAUUCUUCAACUCAUACAUUGUUUAAUUCCCCUUCGUGCUUACCGAAGGAUGAUUGCUAUGAUUACCGUUAUGAUCCCAUUGAUUCUCUUGAAAUAUCCCUUUUUGAUGAUGCUUGCUAUGCUUGUGGCCAAGAUGCCAAUAUGAAUUAUGAUUAUGGAGAUGAACUUGCUAUAGUUCCUUAUGUUAAACAUGAAAUUGUUGCUAUUGCACCCACGCAUGAUAGUCCUAUUAUCUUUUUGAAUUCUCCCGACUACAUUAUAUCGGAGAAGUUUGCACUUAUUAAGGAUUAUAUUGAUGGGUUGCCUUUUACCGUUGCACAUGAUGAUUUUGAUGAAUAUAAUAUGCAUGUGCUUGCUGCUCCUACUUGCAAUUAUUAUGAGAGAGGAACUAUAUCUCCACCUCUCUAUGUUUCCAACAUGAUAAAAUUGCAAGAAACUGUUUAUACUAUGCAUUGGCCUUUACUAGGUGUGCAUGAAUUGUUCUUUUAUGACAUGCCGAUGCAUAGGAAGAGAGUUAGACUUCGUCAUUGCUUGAUAUAUGUUGCUUUGUGCUCACUACUAAAUUACAAAUCAUUGUUAAUUAAAAUUGGCUUUGAUAUACCUUAGGAUUCGGGUGGAUUCACUACUUGAGCACUAUAUGCCUAGCUUAAUGGCUUUAAAGAAAGCGCUGCCAGGGAGACAACCCGGAAGUUUUAAAGAGUCAUUUAUUUCUAUUGAGUGCUUUUAUAUAGUUUAAAAACAACAAAAAUAAAGAGGGGAACCCAAAACUUUUUCAAAAAGGAAAGCGAAAGUGAGAAAGACAAGCAUUGUUGAAGUGGGAGAGUUCCUUGAACUUUGUUCAUGCUCACGGCAACCUUGUGAAUCCUGAUUACAGAAACUUUUCAAUAAAAAUAAUUAUCCCCUUGUACAAUUCCAUUGUAUUAUAAAAAUAAUGUGCCAAGGUUUGCCUUUAGGAUGUUUACAUUUGCUUGAUGGUUUGUAUGGUGCAGGACAGAAACUUUGGCUGUAGUGCGCGAUUUUACAUUUUUAGUUGGAACGUCAAAUGGUUCUAAUUAUUUUUGCACUGUCUUGUUGUACAAUUUUUUUUAUUUUUCCUAAUUGUGGCAGAAUUUUUCAAGUAUCAGAAGUAUGGUGAAUGUUCAGAUUGCUACAGACUGUUCUGUUUUAGACAGAUUCUGUUUUUGAUGCAUAGUUUGCUUGUUUUGAUGAAACUAUCAAUUUAUAUCAGUGGAUUAAGCCAUGAAAAAGUUAUACUACAGUAGACACAAUGCAAAAACAAAAUAUGAAUUGGUUUGCAACAGUACUUAUAGUGGUGAUUUGAUUUACUAUACUAACGGAUCUUACCGAGUUUUCUGUUGAAGUUUUGUGUGGAUGAAGUGUUCGAUGAUCGAGAAGGUCUCGAUGUGAGAAGAAGGAAGAGAGGCAAGAGCUCAAGCUUGGGGAUGCCCGAGGCACCCCAAGUAAAUAUUCAAGGAGACUCAAGCGUCUAAGCUUGGGGAUGCUGGGGAGGCAUCCCAUCUUUCUUCAACAAGUAUCGGUAUGUUUUCGGAUUCGUUUUGUUCAUGCGAUAUGUGCAAUCUUGGAGCGUCUUUUGCAUUUAGUUUUCAUUUUUAUUUUAUGCACCAUGCUGGUAUGAGAUGGUCCUUGAUUUAUUUAUAGAAUGCCUCUUUACACUUCACUUAUAUCUUUUGAGUAUGGCUUUAUAGAAUGCUUCAUGUGCUUCACUUAUAUCAUUUGAAGUUUGGAUUGCCUGUUUCUCUUUACAUAGACAACCGCCAUUUGUAGAAUGCUUCAUGUGCUUAUAUCAUUUAUAGAAUGCUUCAUGUGCUUCACUUAUAUUUGUUAGAGCGUGGGCAUAUCUUUUGUAGAAAGAAUUAAACUCUCUUGCUUCACUUAUAUCUAUUUAAAGAGAUGACAUGAACUGGUCAUUCACAUGGUUAGUCAUAAAAUCCUACGUAAAACUUGUAGAUCACUGAAUAUGAUAUGUUUGAUUCCUUGCAAUAGUUUUGCGAUAUAAAGAUGGUGAUAUUAGAGUCAUGCUAGUGGGUGGUUGUGAAUUGUAGAAAUAUUUGUGUUGAGGUUUGUGAUUCCCGUAGCAUGCAUGUAUGGUGAACCGUUAUGUAAUGAAGUUGGAGCAUGAGGUAUUUAUUGAUUGUCUUCCUUAUGAGUGGCGGUCGGGGACGAGCGAUGGUCUUUUCCUACCAAUCUAUCCCCCUAGGAGCAUGCGCAUAGUACUUUGUUUCGAUGACUAAUAGAUUUUUGCAAUAAGUAUGUGAGUUCUUUAUGACUAAUGUUGAGUCCAGGGAUUAUACGCACUCUCACUCUUCCAUCAUUGCUAGCCUCUCUAGUACUGCACAACCUUCGCCGGUACCAUAAACCCACCAUAUACCUUCCUCAAAACAGCCACCAUACCUACCUAUUAUGGCAUUUCCAUCGCCAUUCCGAGAUAUAUUACCAUGCAACUUCCAUCAUCAUCAUAUACAUGACUUGAGCAUUCAUUGUCAUAUUGCUUUGCAUGAUCGUAAUAUAGCUAGCAUGAUGUUUUCAUGGCUCGUCCGUUUUUUGAUGUCAUUGCUACGCUAGAUCAUUGCACAUCCCGGUACACCGCCGAAGGCACUCAUAUAGAGUCAUACUUUGUUCUAGUAUCGAGUUGUAUCAUUGAGUUGUAAAUAAAUAGAAGUGUGAUGAUCAUCAUUCAAUAGAGCAUUGUCCCAAAAAAAGGAGAAAGGCCAUAAAAAAAGAAAGGCAAAAAAGGGGACACUGCUACUAUCCUUUUACCACACUUGUGAUUCAAAGUAGCACCAUGAUCUUCAUGAUAGAGAGUCUCAUAUGUUGUCACUUUCAUAUACUAGUGGGAAUCUGUCAUUAUAGAACUUGGCUUGUAUAUUCCAAUGAUGGGCUUCCUCAAAAUGCCCCAGGUCUUCGUGAGCAAGCAAGUUGGAUGCACACCCACUAGUUUCUUUUGUUGAGCUUUCAUACAUUUAUAGCUCUAGUGCAUCCAUUGCAUGGCAAUCCCUACUCACUCACAUUGAUAUCUAUUAAUGGGCAUCUCCAUAGCCUAUUGAUACGCCUAGUUGAUGUGAGACUUUCUCCUUUUUUGUCUUCUCCACAUAACCCCCACCAUCAUAUUCUAUUCCACCUAUAGUGCUAUGUCCAUGGCUCACGCUCAUGUAUUGCGUGAAAGUUGAAAAGGUUUGAGAAACGUCAAAGUAUGAAACAAUUUCUUGGCUUGUCAUCGGGGUUGUGCAUGAUGUGAAUGCUUUGUGUGCUGAAGAUGGAGCAUAGCCAGACUAUAGGAUUUUGUAGGGAUGAGCUUUCUUUGGCUAUGUUAUUUCAAUAAGACAUAAUUGCUUGGUUGGUAUGCUUGAAUUAUUAUUGUCUUUAUGUCAAAGGAUAGAUUAUUGCUUUGAAUCACUCGUGUCUUAAUAUUCAUGCCAUGAUUAGAUUACAUAAUCAAGAUUAUGCUAGGUAGCAUUCCACAUCAAAAAUUAUCUUUUUUUUAUCAUUUACCUACUCGAGGACGAGCAGGAAUUAAGCUUGGAGAUGCUGAUACGUCUCCGUCGUAUCUGUAAUUUUUGAUUGUUCCAUGCCAAUAUUAUUCAACUUUCAUAUACUUUUGGCAACUUUUUAUACUAUUUUUGGGACUAACAUAUUAAUCCAGUGCCCAGUGCCAGUUCCUGUUAGUUGCAUGUUUUUUGUUUUGCGGAAUAUCCAUAUCAAACGGAGUCCAAACGGAAUAAAAACUGACAGAGAUUUUUUUUGGAAUAUAUAUGAUUUUUAAAAAGAAGAAUCCACGCGAGACGAUGCUCGAGGGGCCCACGAGGUAGGGGGCGCGUCCCAGGGUGUCAGGCGCGCCCCUGACCCUCGUGGCCACCCCGUAAGGCGGUUGAUGCCCUUCUUUCGCCGCGAGAAAGCUAAUUUCUGGAUAGAGAUCGUGUCAAAAUUUCAGUCCAAUCGGAGUUACGAAUCUCCGGGAAUAUAAGAAACGGUGAAAGGGAAGAAUCUGAGAACGCAGAAAUAGAGAGAGACAGAGAGACAGAUCCAAUCUUGGAGGGGCUCUCGCCCCUCCCGUGCCAUGGAGGCCAUGGACCAGAGGGGAAACCCUUCUCCCAUAUAGGGAGGAGGUCAAGGAAGAAGAAGAAGGAGGGGAGCUCUCUCCCCCUCGCUUCCGGUGGCACCGGAGUGCCACCGGGGGCCAUCAUCAUCACCGGGAUCUACACCAACACCUCCGCCAUCUUCACCAACAUCUCCAUCACCUUCCCCCUCUAUCUACAGCGGUCCACUCUCCCGCAACCCAUUGUACCCUCUACUUGAACAUGGUGCUUUAUGCUUCGUAUUAUUAUCCAAUGAUGUGUUGACAUCCUAUGAUGUCUGAGUAGAUUUUUGUUGUCCUAUCGGUGGUUGAUGAAUUGCUAUGAUUGAUUUAAUUUGCUUGUGGUUAUGUUGCUGUCCUUUGGUGCCCAUCAUAUGAUUGCACGCGUGGAUCACAUCCUAGGGUUAGUUGUAUGUUUAUAGGACUAUGUAUUGGAGGGCAAGAGUGACAGAAGCUUCAACCUAGCAUAGAAAUUGAUGCAUACAGGAUUGAAGGGGGACCAAUAUAUCUUAAUGCUAUGGUUGGGUUUUACCUUAAUGAAUAUUAGUAGUUGAGGAUGCUUGCUAAUAGUUCCAAUCAUAAGUGCAUAGAAUUCCAAGUAAGGGAUGACAUGCUAGCAGUGGCCUCUCUCACAUAAUACUUGCUAUCGGUCUAGUAAAGUAGUCAAUUGCUUAGGGGCAAUUCCGCAACUCCUACCAUCACUUUUCCACACUCUCUAUAUUUACUUUAUUGUUUCUUUAUCUAAACAGCCCCUACUUUUUAUUUACGUACCCUUUAUUAUCUUGCAAACCUAUCCAACAACACCUACAAAGUACUUCUAGUUUCAUACUUGUUCUAGGUAAAGCGAACGUCAAGCGUGCGUAGAGUUGUAUCGGUGGUCGACAGAACUUGAGGGAAUAUUUGUUCUACCUUUAGCUCCUCGUUGGGCUAGACACUCUUACUUAUCGAAAACUAUUGCGAUCCCCUAUACUUGUGGGUUAUCAAGACAUACCCAGACUAGAAUGGAUGAUGUGGACUACCUUGUUCAAGACAACGCAAUGGAUGAUUUUGCUUGCACGUGCUCUCAAGAACUUGAGCAUUUCCAUAUUCAUCAAGGUUUUACCAACAUCCGUGGCACGGAUCCUGGCAACACAACAUACUACUAUGAUGACUAGUGAUGGAUGAUGCGGAUACAAAGGAAGAUAACACCUUCUCAGACUUCCCCUUAGCGAGGCUAAGGAAAUAGAAUCUGGAUGAUCGACCGAGAGACAUUUAGCACUCCGCUUCUAAUGUUCUCCUUGAUGUCCUAGCGUAGUCCAUUCAUAGAUAUGGUUUGAUAUCUAGAACAUCAAGUAAAAGGUCGAACUUCAGGAACACAAAAAAUUCAUAAGGAACAACUAUUUGGAAUAAAUUCUACGAGAUCCUUAUGGGGAGGUGGCCAACUUUCUCAAUCAAGAUACUACAAUAAUAAGUCUUUCGGUUGGGUGUGUUGGCCACAACAUCCACUUUACCGGGUUAUAGAGAAACCAAUAUUACAGUCCUUGAGAAACAUUCCAACCAUCAUAUCUGCCUGGGAUUCAGAUCUGGUUGGUGUCAGGAUAAUCCAAACUCAUCGGGUCUGGAAAGAAAAAUGAAAGUUUGCAACACAAAUCGACGAGAUGACGUUGUGAGAUUCUCGGGGAAUGAACUACACUAGUAAGCUCCAAAACAUGAGCCGGUUCUGCUACAAGCAUGUGAACACGUUGUCCUAGACAAGCAUGGCCACCUGGUAGUCUUACAACGAAACACUACCGAGUUCAGGAGGGAACCAUCAACGAGGAUAUCGAAGUCCUUGCGUAAGUCUAGCUCCUAAGAAGAAACUUCUUCUCCUUGAACAAACCAAUCAGUGGCUUGGUGUGCUAGGAACACAUAUGGAGCGAAGGUAAUUAAUCUACCAAACCAUAGAAUACUUCGCAUGUAUGCAUGACUGAUUUGGGAUGAUUCCAAGGGAAACAAAACAAACCUUUCUCAAAUUUAUGGCGGCAACUUACACCUAAUGCACGUGAACUUGGAGAAAGUCACUUCUUUCAUCCAAGCAUAAGCUUCAUAAACGAAACACGAAGGCAUUUCUUACAAAGCUUUCAACACUAGGUUGAUGUUCAACAUGAAUCAUGGGGGAGACAAAAUGCUGCUGAUGGGCUCAACAGCAACUCAUCAGAAUUUCCAUAUCAUUGGACUUCCACCAUCAUGUGAACACGGUGAUAGCAUUGGUCAGACCAAAAGAUGUAAUGGUGUAUGCUCGAGGGAUCAACCACGAGUAAGACAACAUUACAAACAUCGUUGGUUCUGAUUUGACUUGACGAUAGCCCAUACUCAAGUCAAAGUUUUGACAAGACAAUAGGUCCAACAACUGAUCACGAGGACCAAUUGGUGAAGAUAUCAUCUUUCUUCAACACACACACAAACACAAAGAUAUCCCUUCAGAAAGAACCAAAUUCAGCAAAGCUUUUUAUCUUCCAACUCUCCAAGUUGUUUUUUAGCUUAACCAACUAGUUCAGGGGUAUCCAACACAGAUUCUUGGAGAAGGGGUGGUUUAUUGGAAAACCAACUUGAUCACGAACUCAACAUAACAGUCAAGGGACAACCUGGUAAUGCUUCCAAGAAGAUAUUCAGAAAAUCACGAACCACCGAUAUGUUACUAAGCUCGAGAACAAUCUUGCUUUUCAGAGCAAGACGAUAUGAACAAAUAAGCAAGGGAUUGAAUAAUCCUAACUCAUUGAUCGAAGAGUGCACCGGAAAUAAGAACAAGGUAGCAUGAUCAAUCCUAGAAUAGUGUUUCGAUAACCAGCACGCUAAGAAUGAUAUUAGUGUCCAUUAACUACCAAGCAACACGGUUGCUGGGAGUAUUGAUUUCACACAUCAUGGUUCACUUGCCGGCAUUCCGGUUGUGACAACACGGGACCGAGGAAUGAAAAAUGAUGGCAAGAAGUAUUACUGCGUCAAGAAUUCAUGAGAGAUGGUGCAAUUCUCAUGACAAUCCUGACAUAAAGGGGAUAAUACUCCAGGGUAGAACAGAGCAAAAGCUGGAUGGGCAUUUGAUCUGCAGAACACAACUACUUUGACCUAAUCCUGGAUAUGGAUGAGGUAUCAAGCUUGCCAACAACACAACAUCCCUUAUUUUUAUCUAGAAAAACCAGUAAGCAAAGCAUAUGUAGUUCAACCAACAUUGGAAGGUAUCAGCCCAUAAUUCUUUAAUUGUCAUGUAUACAGGUAAUUCAACAUCUACACUAUUCAAGUAUCUUACCGAAUCUUUACCGAGGAAUUUAAACUGAGAGGCAAAUAUUUUUCAUAGUGACAGCCUCAGUUUCAACCUUCAGCAUACUGCAAAGGAUCGAAGUAAUUAACAUCAUAACUGACGAAAGUUGGUUCAUCGAACAUAACUCUGAAAAUUUAAAACAAAUAAAAGCGUUGUUGCGGCAAAGAAAUGAUGUCAUGAACACAGACAAGUUUUGACUGCGGAAAUUUCUCCUUAGUGCUAACUAUAACUUUCUGGAGCAACUAAUAGUAGUUUUUAUAAAAGAUAAACCCCAGCCUCCUCCAAAGCACUCGAGCUAGUUAUUGGUUAUACACCAGGCAAAUAAUUUGUGUCCUGAUAUCUUCCCAAUCCGUACUUGGAUUCUUAAUUGGGUUUUGAACAAUCACAUAUAAAGAAUAAUGAUUCAACUUUCCCAGCAAGAUCCCAGAAUCUACAAAAUACGAUCCCCUGACAAUUUGCAUACUGGAAUAACCAGGACCCCUUAUCCCAGAAUCUACAAAAUACGAAUCCCCUGACAAUUUGCAUACUGGAAUAACAUAUUAUAAGAAUAUAUUACCUACCCCCAGAGCACAACCCCUAAGAUUAUGCACGGUAAAAUCAAGGAAGAAAUAUGUGGAAGUAGAACACAAUUGGUGCACCUACUAAACAUCUUUUACUUCUAUUAUAUGUACCUAACUAAACCACUGAUUACUCCACCACUGGCUGCCCCUCCUAGCCUUUAAAACCAACAUCUUCCACAUUGUGUCAGAGAGGAGCAGAAAACAUAGAAAAAACAAUUACAUAUGCAUAGAGUAGAGGCACACAUACAUUACGCAUAUCCUUUGGAAGCUCGAGUUUGGGCUCUCAGGAGUAUUCUUCCUUCAUCCUGAGUUCCCAACCCACCAUGCUGCAGAAAACAAAAUAUGCCAUAUUAGUUCCUCGGGUAAUGGAACUGGAGUACAUCAGUUAAUGCAUCGAUUGAGUGGAACCUUUGGGUGAGAGGUAGACCAUGUUACUGAAGACGUUCUCGCAGUGGGCGCCCUUUCCCAACCUCGUCAUCUGCAGCGUCAGGUGGUACUUGUUCCUCGGGUACACGUGCAUCCUCAACAACUUCAUCCUACCCUGCGAACGAGGAGACAUAGAUAUUGUAUUUGGUUCAUGCAAUUUUUCUCCAUUUUUCCGUAUUCAAUCCAAUGGCAAUGAGAACCUAGCAACCCGUGCAAGUGUACCAUAUGUCCAUAUGUGCAAGCUCCACCUCGUUGGGAAAAGUGAAAGAACAUGUUUGUUCAAACGUACUUCAUCUCCUAUCGUCAACCUGUUCACAAAGACAGUAGCAGCGUUCCUCAUGCUAGGAGAGAUGCAGUAUCCAGCAUUCCAGCCUCAUCUUCUUUGAAGGCAACUAUAGUACAGAUACUCAAAUAAUUGGAAUUUCGCGCAACACAACUAUUGGAAAGAAUCCAAGAUCCGCCUUCAAAAGAAGCAAACACAACUACUGGAAUUCGUGCUAAAAAAAUAUCUACUGUUGUACGAACAAUUGACUUCAAUAACCAACAAACGUAUAUACUCAAAUAGAAGUCCUGGAUUCAGAAAUUCCUUGCACGUUCAUCAGAUCGAUGUCGCUCCCAACUCGGACUUAGAUCCACGCAGGUGUACUUUCUCAGCAGGACUUGGGAACUCGGGAUCAGAUUAGAUCAGUUUCGUCUACUGCAUCCAGCAGCGCGAGAUCCAUGUCGAUUUGGGGAGGGAGAGGAGCAGCGUGUGGGAGGAGGGAAGCACACCGCGCGGCUCAUGGAGGAGGAGGGAUUCAGGGAGAGAUACGAAGAUCGGGGGCUGGUUAGGGUUACCUAGGCUGCCACGUGAUCCAGCGCGGCGGGAGGGGCUGGCCCUGAGGAGCGACGAUCCGCCGCGUCCAUCGCCCGGGGGCCUGGCCAGCGCCAGUGGCUUCCUCCAUCGUCGCCGCCGUCCGGGGAGGGACGCAGGCACGGCGAGGCAGACGAGGCUGGCAGCGCGAUUUGAUUCGGCGGGCGGCUGCAUCUGAGGGAGACGACAGUGGGGUUCUCGCUCGAGGGCUCUCUGGGCGCCUCGCUGCUCGCUCGCUCGUGCGAGCAGUGGAACUUUUUUUCGCUGGUUUCCGUUUUUCUGGCAUGCGGGAGAACGUGGGUUUGGUUGGUUUUUUUGGAAUUGGGAGGUGGGAACAAGGACGAAAAAAACCCGUCUUCGAUGAGACGAAAAUUGACCGGCGGAGACUACCAACUGCUCCAUUAAAAAUAGAGAUGGCUAGGAAAGUUGUUCGAGUGGAAUGAGGGACGUACUUCUCAGUCAGCGCUGCUUAUCAUUUCUUUGUUUUAUUUUAAUUUUGAGCCUUUUGCCAUUCCAGGACUUUUCUUGGAAACACUGUAUCGAUGCAUAUGCUUACAGUAUGCACACACUUAUUUCUAUGAACACAACAUACACAAGCUAUCCACAAGCUUGUAAAAUUCGCCACUGCAACCUUGUAGUUGACGCAAUGUAAAAAAUCAAAAAAUAUGCGAGCAUCCGUGUCAAGUUUAGAACUUGAAUUAGUGUGAGCUAAUGACGCCACAAGAAACCUAACCAUAUAAACUAAGGUUGGUUCACCUACGAGGACUUCCGUACACACCCAGCAAUGAGACAUGCAUACAAAAGGAUUUUUUUUCAAGAAACUUUCAAUUUAUUCAUUUUUAAUCAUGGCAAUACAAAGAACAACGGAGGUAAUAAAAAUCACAAUCAUGUUCGUGCACCACCUAACGAUGACUACAAGCACUGGAGCGAGCCGAAGGCGCGCCGCCGUUAUCGCCCCUCCCUCACCGGAGCCGGGCAAACCUUGUUGUAGUAGACAGUCGGGAAGUCGUCGUGCUAAGGCCUUAUAGAACUAGCGCACUAGUGUAGCAACCAUCACCGAUGAAAAAAAUCGUAGAUCAGAAGGAUCAAACUUGCAAAUACCUAAACAAAAACGAACGAAGACUAGAUCCAAAUAGAUCCACCGAAGACCAGCACCGACCGAAUCCCACAAAGAACCGACGGAUACAAACCUUCAGACGCCCUCCGGUGAUGCUAGAUGCACCAUCGGAGAUAGAACGUGGGAGACAUUAUUCCUACUAAAGAAGGUUGUCACCGCCACACAACCCCAACCAAGAUGCUGAAUCCAAAAAGAACGAGAAUGGGGUCCCUCCCACCAGCGGGCGGCCGAGAUCCUCUGCACCUCCAUGGCCUAGAGGAUUUUUUUUAGAGCUGAAAAAAAAUCAUAGUUAUCGAAUUUGAUGUCAGGAACCUAGUUUGUUGUUUGAUUCUUAUAGGUUAAUAAAGCAAUAGUUUAAUAUUUUUAUCAUUUUGAUUAAAAAUAAGUGUUUGUAAAAUUGUAACAAAUUUGUCUCGGAUGGUCAUAAUUUAUAGCAAAAUAUAAUAUUAGCAUUUUCAUGUGAAAUGCAUUUUUAUGGUUACUUUUUGAUAUAUUUGUCUAUGUAGGAAAGGUCAAAUGAUUAUGCAAUUUUUGUGGCCAAAUAAUCUUGAAAAAUACUCAUUCGUAUCCAAAUAUAAUAUGUUUUUAUUUUGCCGCCUCCUCCUUCUCCAUAAAAAAGCUAGGGUUUCUGCCUCCCGUUGGCGCCGCUGCAGGUCCGCCUCCUCUCCGGUGCCCCUAAGGCCAUGGGGGCGUGGUGGAUCUCGGCAAGGGCCGGGGGAGGGCUUCGUUUCUAGUCGUUUCUUUCAGUUUUGCUAGGGUUUGUGCCCUGCUCAGGAAGACAAGACGGCGGCGGCCCCCUGAAGAUGGAAUAAAGGUCUCCCCGCCUAGCCCCCGUUCCGACGGUGCGUUUAUCACUGUCGGUGGGCAUGUGGAGGUGUGUCUCCGGUGGAUCUAUUUUUGUUGUAUUUGCUCGGAUCUCGUCGUUGUACGUUCGAGUGUCUUCGGGUUGGAUCCUUUUGAUCUACGUUAUUCUUCAUCUACGACGAUUGUUGUUCUGGUGUGCUGGUCCUAUGGGGCCUUAGCACGACGACUUUACGAUUGUAUACUACAACAAGUUGUGUCCGACUCGGGCGAUGGAGGGGUGAUGACGGCGGCUCGCUUUCGGCUCAUUUCAGUGCUGGUAGUCGUCGCUAGGUGGUCUACGGAUCUGGAUGGAAUUUCUAUUAUUUCUGAUAUUCGUUGUACUGUCAUGAUUGAAGAUGAAUAGAUUGAAAAUUUUCUAGAAAAAAAUAUAAGGUGGUUUUUAGGCUAGUUUAGCCUUAUAAUAGGUAAAAUAUAAGAUGUAUUUUAGGCUAGUUUAGCCUUAAUAGGCAAGGCUGGCACACUGGCAUUAGGACUCGAAGUGAAAUUUACACAAAGUCCGGCUAGUUUAACCCUUCUCUAGCACAGCACCGCCGUCUCCUUCCUCCCGUGCUCGCGUAUCAUCCAAUUCCCACCGUCGAGAGCUCCAAUUCACUCACGAAUCCACUCCAAAUCCACUCCAAUCGAAUCCACACCAAACCGAAGCUAACCAUGCAUCUCAGCCACUAGCCGGAGGGGAUCGAGGAGGAGCCAAGAGCCGCCGGAUCCAUCCAGCUGCCCGCGCCGCGGAUCCGAUCUCACCGGAUCGACGGCCGCACGCGGGGUGUGUGUGUGUAUGUGUGUGGCGGAGCGCCGGAGGGAGGAUGGGGAGCCGCGUCCUCGGAGCAGGUCGUCGCCGCCAGGGGCCCAUCUCACCGGUCAGUUCUAGCUAGGGUUUCAACCAACAAAUCCAAAUCGGCCUUCCAAUCCCGGCCGCCCAUGGAGUCGCCGCCGCCGCACAAGCGCAACGUCCGCCGAGAUGACGACAGGAUCAGCGCGCUACCCGACGACCUCCUCCUCGGAAUCCUCGAGCGCCUUGAACUGCGCGAGGCGGUCCGCGCCGGCGCAGUCUCGACGCGGUGGCGGCACCUGCCCCACCGGCUCUCGCGCCUGCACCUCAACGGCCGCCAUUUCCGCUGCACCACGCUGCUCGAGUUCAUGGACGCCUUCACAGGCGCGACACGGAGGUUGCUGACCGACCGCGACUGCCACUGCAACGGCAGUCAUGCUAUCAAGUCCAUCAGCCUCCGCUUCUUCCUGUCGGCGCCCCACCUGAGCCCCAUCGGCCGCGCCGUUGAGCACGUCGUCAGCCGCGGCGAGACCAAACGCCUCCAUUUUGGCACAUGCUCGCCAUACAAGAGAAACACUGCCCUGCAGCUCGCCGAGUUUGGGCAGCAGUUCAUGUCCUUCUCCCGCGACUACCCACUCGCUUUCCAGUGGCUCACCAGGCUUACACUCAAGAACCUUGCGUUUGGGCAUUCCGAUGUCACCGACCUCAUUAAUGCCUGUGACAGGCUCACGCACCUCACUCUGAGUUUUUGCCAACUGGUUGAUGAGCACACACCGCUCAAGAUCGACACACCGUGUUCUGGGAUCAAGGAUCUCGAAUUCAUCCAAUUUGGGUGCACGCAGAUCGAGCUCAUCUCUGUCCCAAAGCUCAGUAAAGUGCAGUGCACAUCUUGGCGCUUGGCGAACCCUCCUGUGCGCUUUGUUUAUGUUCCAGAGCUUCGCGAUGUGAGCCUCAGUACCAGUGCCAUGGCGUGGCAGGCGCCAUUCCUGCUGAGCGACUGCUUGUCAAGGAGUGCAAUGAACUUGUCAAAACUGCAUCUCAAUUUUCGCCAUCAAAUGGUAAAGCUAAUUUCUGUGGACCAUAUAAUGUUCUUCUGCACAUAUAACAUAUGUUCUUCUUUACUAAUAACAGCUGUUUAUUUGUGUUCCUCUUCUUGGUGCAGAUAUGGAUUCAGCCGGAACAUCCGAAGCAGCUUACUGCUAUAUUCAGAAAUCUCUCCGAUUUGUCCCUUUCUGAAAUCUUCCCUGAGUGCGAUUUGAGCUGGACCCUAUUUAUCCUUGAAGCUGCACCUGCCCUGCAGAAGUUUACAGUAAGCCUUUGACUCUAACUUCUUUUUAAUUUAAUCCACAUCUUGGCCUGGAUAUGACUCGAUCUAGUAUGAAGGGUUUCCCGAUAUAUAGCAUUAACGGAUAUGGGACACAUGGAUUGUAUUGUAUAUGAAUAAUGUUGGGGAUAUCGCUUAUCAGGAACUUAUCAGUCGACCAAUGAUAAGGGGUAAAUCGGCCAGUUUAUGGGCAUUUCGGUCGAUUUAUCACCAUAUCGGCUGAUUUAUCAGCCGAUUUAUCUUAUCAGUCAGACACCGGUAAGCGAUAAAUGGGCCGAUUUAUCGGAAUAUCGGAAGAUAUCUUGAAUGAUAAUGCAAUGUAAACGGAAGUUCCGACGUUCCAUUUGAAUUUUGCAUAGAAAUAAUGUCCAUGCAAUAUGAAAAAAUUCAUGUUGGAUCGUACCUCGUGUUAAGAGUUACCCGAAGCAUAUUCUCAUAUCUUACUUUCCCUAUGAUUAGUUCUUGCAAGGUCGUCUAAACUCUAAAUGGGCCUAAACUUAGAUUAGAUACUAGUAGUGAGCGUGUUGCAAAUUUUUCAAUAUCAGAUAUAUUUAGAUCCAACCAUUAUUACAUUGUUUUGCAUGGGUUGAUGUCAAGUUAAAUUAGUAACGUGUGUUAUUUGUCUUGUAUGCCCUUGAUGAAGUUAUCUCGAACUCGUCAUGCAUGUGACAUAGCGUUCGAGGACAAUGCCGAGAAGACCAACGUGGUGUGGGAGCCAUCAAAGGAUUUCAAGCACAUGAACUUGAAGUCACUGACGAUAGAUGGGUUCGAGGAGGAGGACAAGGUGACAAACUACAUAAGGCUAGUCAUGGGGCGAGCUGUUGGAUUGAAGAGAAUCGAGUUGCGUGGUGAAGGAUGCAAGAAAUGUGAUGCCAUUGAUCCGAGGACAUCCCAGGUGGAUGAAACUCGCAGGCAUCGGAUCAAGGAGCUACUCACAAAUGGAUCAUCCUCAUCCGUGGAGAGAAUAAUGCGCUGACCGAUAUGUCAAGGAAUGCUAUGUCUCAUCAUGCUUGCAGCUGCUGUAUGUGGCACGGUCAGCAGUAGUAAUUUAAUUUCUAGGUACUGAUAGCCUGAGAAUACUUGAAUGGUGUGGACUUUGCAGUGUGUCAUGCACUUAGCCAGCUUAGUUCGGAACCUUGCCCGAGAAGUGUGUCAAGAUAAGAAAGCUUAGUUCUGGAGCUCAAUUACAACUGCAUAGUACUACAGUAUGUUCUGUGUGUUCUGUUCUAUACAUUAGGGUUCGUCCUGCUUUAGGCUAUGUUCGAUUGCAGGGGAUUAGUUCCACUAGUGGGUGNNNNNNNNNNNNNNNNNNNNNNNNNNNNNNNNNNNNNNNNNNNNNNNNNNNNNNNNNNNNNNNNNNNNNNNNNNNNNNNNNNNNNNNNNNNNNNNNNNNNNNNNNNNNNNNNNNNNNNNNNNNNNNNNNNNNNNNNNNNNNNNNNNNNNNNNNNNNNNNNNNNNNNNNNNNNNNNNNNNNNNNNNNNNNNNNNNNNNNNNNNNNNNNNNNNNNNNNNNNNNNNNNNNNNNNNNNNNNNNNNNNNNNNNNNNNNNNNNNNNNNNNNNNNNNNNNNNNNNNNNNNNGUUGAAUCCCUGCCACUCCUGCUAACAUCUCCUAUUUGGUUAAACUGUGUGUACCAUCUGUAUUUGCGUUGGUAAACCCUAUCAAAUUUUAGCUGCAUGGAUCACGAUUUUGUGCCAAUCACCACAAAUUAUUCACGCACAAGAAGUUGGCAAGUACAUAAGCAGUAAGACCAGCACAGGGCAGAGAAACAACAAUUCAGAGAGCAACAAUACUCUCAAGCACAACAGAACAUACCACAAACCAAUACAAGACAAGUUCAUAAUUUUGCCAAUUAAUUAUACUCCUGCACCCCCCAAGCUGCACUUGUUCAGCAUGUGAAGAUAGAACUGGAACCUGAACAAAGGUAUAGAUACACAUGUCAAUACGAUGAAUCAUUUAAAAUAAAUGUAUGAAAGAAACUUCUUUUAACUUAUAGUAAAGAAAAGCAAUGGACAAAUACUUGAGAUGUUGCCAACACGGAAAACUCUUCAAAAAGAACAAAUUCGUCACAUAUUAUAUAAUAAUUUACUUAUGUUCAUCACAUAUUAUAUGAUAAGUUUCAGCGGAUGCAAGAAUUUUUUUGCAGCAAUUAUAAACAACGGAUAGAAAGACUGGACAUGACUCUUCUAGCUACAACAGUGACAGCUAUUGUAUUAUUUUCUGCAAAUUAUUUCCAAUUAUAAACAGAGACAAUGGGAUGUUCCUCAAAUUGUAUUUUGCCUUGGAGUCCCUCUUUUGGCUUGAAAAUGUGAACUCGUGUGCAAGUGGUUAACCCCUACCCAGGACCAUAUAGAUCAAUACCAGUGUCGUGAACCUGGUAAAAUCUAGUACAGUAGAUGUUAUUUAUUUAAGAGAGGGGAUAUCGUUUAGGCUGAAGAUACAGUCUAGCAGAAUAAAGUUCCAAUUGUUUAAUCUCCAAAAACAGUGAACUAAAUGAACCAUUGACCCGAUGGAAAGUAUUCAAAAAUUUGGUUCAAGCAUAGUAUUGAAGAUAGUGGGUUCGUCCUGCUUUAGAUGUCCUUUGUCGCUUCUAUGCUAUCUCUUUCGUAAGUCGCUGCACAUUUACCUUGUCCUAACAACAAGCUCCAGUUUGCAUUUACACUCAUGGGCAUCUGCAUCUUCAUCUGCUUCUUUCCUUGUUCUUGUUUGUUUCUUUUCCAAGAGGCCGGCCUAACACUCAUGCGGAUCCUUAACCGGAGUGUGUGCAGGCUAGGGGACACUAACAAAUACAUACUUGUCCGAGACACUAUUAAGGCCAGCAACCCUAAGGUGGUCUGCCAGGCUACAUGAAUCCAAAUUGGACACAAUUUCAGUUUUCAAGGCAUCCCAAUUCUUACCAAAUAACCUGUUUUCAUAUUCAUACACGGUAAUGCCGGCCAAAGGUUUCUCAGGGGGAAUUACCACUGCGUCGGAUGAUCCAGGGUGCUUUCUGCUUUGCACUGAAAAGAGGAUUCAUUCCUUCUAUGUUUCAGUUCAACUGCAGUCUGCCACAGAAAAUCUGAACUGUUUAUGGACCUUGCAAUAAUCAGCAGAGGGCUGAGGACCAUGGAUCAAAUUAUUGAGGUUUAAUUAAUCACUGGCUGGAGAUGGUUCGGAUGAGGUUAAGAAAAGAGUUGCUGAUGGAUGGCUGAGAGGUACUGGGGCCUUCUUCUCUCCUGCAUAUUUGCUCAGUUAUGAAAUGAGGAGGACGAGGGCUCCCUCUUCUUGGAAAUCACUCUCAGGAGGUUCGCCACAGAAAUAACUUAGGUGAUGGAAAUUCCCAAUUUUUCAGGCAAGGAGGAACAAGAUCCGGGUUCGGAUCAGUGAUGGUGUGGGACAUUACAACAUCAAAGAGAAGCUACAAAUUGCUAUAUGUCUGUCCUGCAACUUCAGGGGCUUUAUGAUAUGACUCAUCUUAGCAGUUUAGCUGAACCUUUCACCUGGGCUGCCAUCGAUUCAUCUCCAAAUAAUAGGAGCCCAGGAGCAGAUGGCUACGCAAAUGAUCUGCUCUGUUUAUCCCAAGAAUUCCUCAAUAAUACAAUUGAUCUGAUCGCCAUUAAUACAGUCUUCAUCACCACGCUCCUGCCCAAGAAAGAAGUGUCUUUUGAAAUCAAGGAUUUCAGGCCUAUCUCUUUGUUGCAUAGUGUUCCUAAGCUGGCUACUAAGAUGUCGGUUCGGCUACAGAGAAAAUCCUAGUCUUGUACAUGCGCUGCAAUCUGGCUUCCUCAAAGGAUGGUCCAUCGUUGCAAAUUUUGCCCUGGUAGCGGAGUUAUUUCAGUGUGCAAAAAAGAGGAAAUUGCCGAUGACGGUGCUAAAGCUGGACUUUCGUAAAGCUUUUUGACAGUGUAAGCAAUGCAAGGGAUAAUACAAGCACCGGAUCUUGCUAUGUCUGGCUUUUAGAGGUCGGCUUAAUACAAGGGAUAACUGAAAUUCCGUUGUUAGUCAUGCUGGCUGUGAUUGAUGGAUGCCUGCCGUGGAAACAAUGAGCACACCAUUCUGCCAUUUGGAGAUAUAUUGGUCGCUAUGGCCUUAAUAUCACUAGCAUCAUUGUGUCAACAUUUCUCAAUAAAGAAUUUAAGCCUGUCUUUGUACAUCCGCUGCAAUCUGGUUUCCUCAAAGGACAGUCCAUUGUUGAAAAUUUUGCCCUGGCAUCGGAGUUAGUUCGGUAUUCAAAAAAGAGAAAUUGCCAAUGAUGGUGCUAAAGCUGGAUUCUCGUAAAGCUUUUGACACAGUAAGUUCGGAUGGUCUAUUCAGCAUUCUGUCUGCUCGAGGUUUUGAUCAUAAGUGGAUACCAUGAAUAGACAUGCUCUUGCGACCGUCAAUGAUUGGGGAGUUGGGAGAGCAAUUCCAUUCAAGAUGUGGAGUCCAUCGCGACGACCCUUCUCACCCUACCUCUUCAUCCUAGUUGCGUACCUGCUUCAGCGGCCAUGUUGCAAGGAGUACGGCCGAAGAUCUCUUAAAAACCCGUUAAAUCCGGAGAGUUUUUUUCCCUGGCUCUGUAUUAUAGCUGGCCAAAUGGGCCGGGCCAACCAGGCCGGCCCGCGAGCACGCCCGGCAUGGCACGGGCUAAACGGGCUAGGCCCGGCACGCGGCAUGCCCUGGGAUUUGCUUGAGUGAAAUUUGCUACUGCCCUAUAAAACCUUGCGCUUGGAGUCCCAACACCUCCCUCCUCCCCGAUUCGACUUGUUUUGCCUUCUCUUUCGGAUGAUCAUCUUCUGCAUAUUUUAUCGGAUGUGGGUGUUUCUCUCGAGCCUGGUUGUGGGUCUCCCUCGCUUAUUCUUUCCACUAUCAGGGCCAAUGAGGUGGCCCAAGCGGACAUUGCCAAUGCCAAAGAGGUCGCGGCGUCUACGGCUAUUGGGGCCGUUCCUCGGCAGGCAAGGGAUGGGGUGUGGACGAUGGUUGUGGCCAGUCACAUCCCCUCCCAGCCAAAAGGGGUCCGUCUAAGCGAUCAAAAUCUUGUGUUGCCCCGUGCAGGUCUAGCCUCCGUAUCAAGAAUCUUUCUUUCAAAUGAAAACCCUCUUCUGGAAUAUUAGAAUUUUUGGCGCUAGGAGGCGCCGAGACCAAAUUAGGGAUGUUGUUGGAGGCAAAAGCAUUGACAUCUUAGGGCUGGUUGAAACAUUCAAAGAAUCCUUUUCUCCUAAUGAACUUUUUGCGAUUGCGGGCAUGGACAAAUUUGACUGGCAUUUUCUUCCAUCUUCUGGUCAUUCUGGGGGCAUUCUUAUUGGCUCCAAAUGGGAUAUAUUUGAUUUUCUACUUCUGAUCAUGGCAUUUUUUGGGCAAGCAUUGUGGUGCACCAUCGGCGACUCAACACCCUGUGGGAAUUUAUGGUUGUCUAUGGCCCAGCAGAUCACUCUCCUACAUCUAUUUUCCUUGAUGAACUAUCUACUAAAAUUGAGUCUUGCACGAUACCUAUUGUGAUAGGAGGAGAUUUUAACCUCUUGCGUACCCCUUCUGAUAAAAAUAGUCAUAAUUUCUCCUGGUCUCUUGCUAAUGCAUUUAAUGAUUUCAUUAGUGCUUGUGCCAUCCUCGAGCUUCCUCGGGUGGGGGCUCGUUUCACCUGGUCUAACCAUCAAAUUGAUCUGGUCCGGUCGGUGCUGGAUCGGGCCUUUAUCUGUUCUAGCUGGGAUUCCUUAUUUCCUUGUGCCUCUCUGAAAGCUAAACCUGCGGUGGGCUCGGAUCAUACUCCCCUCAUCUUGGAUGCUGGCCUCAACCAACCUGUGAUCUCUUCGCGCUUCCAAUUCGAUGCCUCAUGGCUUCUAGUGGAGGGAUUCACAAACAUGCUUGCUACCAAGAUUUCACACCUUCUCUCCCCUUCCCCUCGCUCCUUUGACCCCAUGGACGACUGGCAAAAGUGUUCUUAUGAGCUUCGUAAGUUUCUUAGGGGUUGGUCUCGUAACAGAGCUGGGGAGAUCCAUAGGGAGAAAAACUCUUUAGAGACCCAAAUCGCGGGCCUGGACCUCACUACAGAUAUGAUUGGCCUCUCGGAUCAAGACUGGUCUGUCCGAUACAACCUAGAAGCUGCUCUGAUGCAGUUGCAUCAACAGGCAAAAAUUUAUUGGCGCUAGCGUGGUACCCUUAACUGGACCCUUAAAGGUGAUUCUCCAACGGCCUAGUUCUUUGCCAUUGCCAGUGGUAGAAGAAAAAGAUGAUUUAUUGAUAGCCUCAUCAUUAAUGGUGUUAGGACCUCGGAUCAAUCCCUCAUCAUUGCCCACUUGUGGAUUUCUUUUCUUCUCUUUUUGGGGCUAAGCAGGACACUGGUCUCUCUAUUUCCCCCUCCUUAUGGGACAAAGGUAACAUGAUUUCGAACGUUGAGAAUGAAGCCUUAAUGGUCCCUUUGUCUGAUGAGGAGAUCUGGGAGGUCAUUAACUCUGCCAACCCGAAUGCAGCCUAUGGCCCUGAUGGGUAUUCUAUUCCCUUCGUUAAGAAGUUCUGGCCUUAGCUGCGUCGGAUGGUGUGUCAAAUCAUUCAAGGUUUCUGUCUGGGGACAAUGGAUAUCUGCCGCCUUAACUAUGUUGUAAUUACUCUUAUCCCUAAAGUGAAAGGAGUUGAGCUAAUCUCCCAGUUUAGACCUAUUGCCCUUACUAACAAUUUUGCUAAAUUUCCUGCAAAGGGUUUUGCCACUCGUCUCACUCCUAUAGCCCAUAGAACUAUUAGCCCUUUCCAGUCCGCCUUCAUCAAAGGUCGUUUUAUCCUCGAUGGGAUGCUCUGCCUUCAUGAGAUCAUGCAUGAUCUCAAGAUUCGUAAAUCUAAAGCAGUGAUUCUUAAGUUGGAUUUUGAGAAAGCUUAUGACUCGAUCAGUUGGCCUUUCUUGAGAAAGGUGCUCCUGGCCAAAGGCUUCGAUGGGGCCUAUGUUCAUAGGAUCAUNNNNNNNNNNNNNNNNNNNNNNNNNNNNNNNNNNNNNNNNNNNNNNNNNNNNNNNNNNNNNNNNNNNNNNNNNNNNNNNNNNNNNNNNNNNNNNNNNNNNNNNNNNNNNNNNUUGCCAAUGGUAGGGGCCUAUGACAAGGUUAUCCUGCCUCUCCUAUCUUGUUCAACUUCCUCGCGGAUGUCCUAUCUCGUAUUCUUUCUAGAACUGCUUCGCAUGGUCAUAUAUCUCCUAUCAUCUCACACCUCGUCUCGGAAGGGGUCACUCACCUUCAAUAUGCGGAUGACACUAUCGUUAUGGUAGAUCUAAACGACUCUUGCAUUGCCCACGUCAAGUUCAUUCUUCUUUGUUUCGAAGCCUUGUCGGGACUCAAAAUUAACUUUUCUAAAAGUGAGGUCAUAGUUACUGGUGUGGAUGAUACCGAGGCCUUAAGGGUGGCCCAUCUCCUCAAUUGUAAGCUGGGAUCAUUCCCUUUCAAAUAUCUGGGUCUUCGAAUUUCCUCGGAUGUGCUCUAUGCGAAAGAGUUCACUCCUGCUGUGGCUAAAGUUGGCAAUAGGGUACUCCCUUGGCGAGGUAGAUACAAUACUAGUGAUGGGAAAGUGGCGCUGAUCAACGCUUGCUUAUCGUCCUUACCAAUGUUCCUCAUGGGCUUCUACUUACUCUCAGCUGGCACACACGCAGGCUUCGAUAAGCAUACAGGUGCUUUUUACCGGAACACGACAGAUAAUAGGCGCAAAUACAGAUUUGUCAGGUGGAAACUUAUGUGCAGACCCAAAAACCUUGGGGGGNNNNNNNNNNNNNNNNNNNNNNNNNNNNNNNNNNNNNNNNNNNNNNNNNNNNNNNNNNNNNNNNNNNNNNNNNNNNNNNNNNNNNNNNNNNNNNNNNNNNNNNNNNNNNNNNNNNNNNAACACUGCCAUCAUGAAUAAAUGCCUCUUGAUUAAAUGGUGGUGGAAAAUUAUGACAACAGGAGUUGGAUCCUAAUGGUUAUCCAUCCUUAAAGCUAAGUAUUUCCCUCUUUCUAGUCCAAUGUUUGCUUCUCCGCGCGGAGGCUCACAAUUUUGGAAGGAUUUGGUUAAAGUUAGACCUUUGUUUCUGGCUAAUGUUAUGUUUGUUGUCGGGGACGGGUCCUCUAUUUGUUUUUGGCUUGAUUGGUGGUGUGGAGACUCACCUCUCUCUGUGAGUUUUCCUACACUCUUUUCCUACUGUCCUAAUCCGAACAUCUCAAUCGCUGAGCUUUCGGCUAAUAACUGGGACUUGGCCUUCCGGCGAUCCCUUUCUCCUGUAGAGUUUGAAGAAUGGCAACGGCUUACUGCUCUCUUCCCUAUGCUCUCGGAGAGCAUGGGCUCGGUGGUUUGGCCUCAUACUUCUUCUAGUCGAUUUUCGGUUAAGUCUUUAUACUCUAAGCUUAUUGGUGAAUCUCCCACCAACAGAUUUACUCAGAUUUGACGGGCCCGUAUUCCCCCUACAGUUAAGAUCUUUCUUUGGCAAGAUUUUAGAGGGUGUCUGCCCUCGGCGGACCAAAUCCGUAAGCGGAUUGACCCGGGAUCGGAGUUCUGCGCCCUUUGUGGUGCUUUGGAGGACACGAAUCAUAUAUUUGUUCAUUGUGUUUUGGCCAAGCUAGUCUGGAGUUGUGCUAGAUCGUGGCUCCAGGUUUGUAUUCCAAAGCAACCAACACCGACACAUGAUCGCUGGGGCAAACAGCACAAUAAGCCUAAAAGAAAAAGAAGAAGAAGUAAAUGCCAACAACGGCAGCUCGACAGAGCGCGGAUGACCCGCCACCGCUACGCCCACCAGAGACAAACCACUACAACCCGAGGCUCCGGACCACCACGUACAAAACAACACCUCCAAGAAGGAAAGUGACGCCGAUGACGCUGCUGCCCGGACAUGUCCUAGGGUUUCCCUGGCACGCGGAGGGAGGUGGGGAAUGGAUAUCACCGACACCCUCCAGAAAGGAAUGGUGGCACCCGCAGGUGUCACCGCAUCGGGGCCGAAGACUGGUAAGGAUUUCUUCCAUACUCCAAUCCCCGCCGCCCAACGGACCAUCCAGCCAGACCGCCGCCCACCACCAUGCGCCAUCGCGGUUGCGCCGUCACCCACGCCGCCUCACUGCGAACACCAACACGAGGCCAAGAGGAUCGGAGAGAAGCGCCCCACGGAGGGAGAAGCAGCACCAAAGCCGAACGGGAGGGAACCACCUCCACCGCUGUCGUGCGGGAGGCCAGAGCCUCCGGCACCGUCGCGGUAGCCAUCUGGACGCGGCAUCAGGGCAUGCCAGGCCACCCCUGGCCCGGUCAGGCCCGAAACGGGCCCGCUAAGCCCCGCCGUCAUGCUGCAGCAAGCCGGCGAUGGCGCCGCCAACACCCUGCCGCUCAUCGCCUCUCCCCAGCCUCCCGGAAGCCACGAAGCAGACCCACCCGCCGCCGGCCCGCCCAGGCCCAGAUGGGGCCCGAAGGGCCCAGAUCUGGGCCGAGCGGGCGCUGCCAGACCGCGCCGCCGCGUCGCCCCGCCGCCAACGGCGACGCCGCCAUCCAGAAGUCCGCCCCCGCUCGCACCAGGAGCCCCCGCCGCCCCGCUAGACCGCCGCCGCCUAGAAGCACCGCCCGGGGUCGCGCCGACGAACACCCGAGAGGGGAAAAGCCAGGGGGCCGCCGCCACCAGUGUCGCCCGGGCCAGGCCCGCAGCGGGCGCCGGCGACGGCGGCAGAGAGGAAGGGGGAAGGAGAGGCGCGCGGGGGAGAAGGCUGGGCGCGGCCGGCCGGCCGCGGGGGCGGCGCGGUCGCGGGAGAGGGAGGGGGAGGGAGGGUCCAACUCUUUUUGGUGAGGCCAGUUGAGUUGGGCAGGACUGCUGCCUCUCUGUUUCAUCUCUUUACAUGGCUAAAGAUGCACAACGAAUAACAAACACACACCAAACAGUUUUCUGGAGCUACUAAAGCAAUUAAAAUCUCUAUGAGAUCUUCAUAGCCAUGCAGCCCCAUAUCCUAUAGUUCACUGAACUUAUAGCUCGAGAUCCAGUUCGCGUGCUACACUCUUCAGCAACAUUGCUUGCUAAAACACAGAACUUAAAUCCAUCAGAUUAUUCAUUAAGAAAAAACCAGCAAGCCAAGGUGCAAAAAGCUUCAUCAUACCAUCUCUCGGGAAACAGAAACCACUCCCUAACAGUGCAUCUUUUGAGAGAUGAAUUUAAAGAUUGGAUCAAAGCUGGGACAGGGCAAACUGUAGAGUUUUUAAAAUGGUAAUACCGAGUUACUGUUUGCAAAUGCUUUUUCAAGUAAAUUCUACAACAGGGUACAUCAAAUUAGAGGUUCAUUACAAAGAUAAUCAAUUCACUCGGCCACUAACACGGGAGAUUAUCAAGCUAACUGACAAAAGCUACCAACAACAUGGGAAAACAAGCAAGCACCGCUGCACCAAAAGGGCUACUGAAUGAUGACAUAAUUCAUCAGGACUUCGCGAGACCCCUGUUGCCUCCAAGUUUGUCACCUAUCUUGUUGAUGAGUGUAGCCUCGUACAUCUUCAACCACACAUUCUUAAUGCGCCGCGUCACCGGGGGUCACCCUUUCCGCAAACAUAGGUUUGUCAGUAUGAUUCUAGAAGGGGG